AUUUUAGUCGUUGUUGAUUACGUUACUAGGUGGGUAGAAGCUAUUCCAACUAGUAGUGCUGAUCAUAAUACUUCUAUUAAGAUGCUUAAAGAAGUUAUUUUUCCGAGGUUUGGAGUCCCUAGAUAUUUAAUGAUUGAUGGUGAUUAACAUUUUAUUCAUGGUGCUUUCCGUAAAAUGCUUGCUAAGUAUGAUGUUAAUCAUAGAAUUGCAUCUCCUUAUCAUCCUCAGUCUAGUGGUCAAGUAGAAUUGAGCAAUUGAGAGAUUAAAUUAAUUUUUCAAAAGAUUGUUAAUAGAUCUAGAAAGAAUUGAUGUAAGAAACUUGAUGAUGCAUUAUGGGCCUAUAGAACUGCUUAUAAGAAUCCUAUGGGUAUGUCUCCAUAUAAAAUGGUUUAUGGAAAGGCAUGUCACUUACAUCUUGAGCUAGAACAUAAGGCAUAUUGGGCUAUUAAAGAGCUCAAUUAUGAUUUCAAACUUGCCGGUGAGAAGAGGUUAUUUGAUAUUAUCUCACUCGAUGAAUGGAGAACCCAAGCCUACGAGAAUGCCAAGUUGUUUAAAGAAAAAGUUAAAAGAUGGCAUGAUAAAAGGAUACAAAAGUGUGAGUUUAAUGUAGGUGAUCAUGUUUUGCUAUACAACUCUCGUUUAAGUUUUUUUUGCAAGAAAGCUUCUCUCCAAAUGGGAAGGUCCUUACAUCAUCGAGGAGAUCUAUCGUUCCGGUGCCAUAAAAAUCAACAAUGUUGAAGGUACAAAUCCGAAGGUGGUAAACGAUCAAAAAAUCAAACAUUACAUCUCAGGUACUCCCAUAAAUGUUGAGACCAAUAUAAUUGAUACCGUAGCCCCGGAGGAGUACAUAAGGGACACUUUCCAGAAUGUUUCAGACUCCAAAAAGGAAUAGGUAUGUGGUACGAUAAGUAAACCGACUCCAAAAUGUUUCCAAUGAUAAAUUUUCUUUGUUCUGGAAUAUUAAAAAAUUAGGAAAAUCAAAAGUAGUCCGAAAGAGACACGAGGCCACCACAAGGGUGGAGGGUGCGCCCUGCUCCUCUGGGCGCACCCCCCGUCCUUGUGGCCACCUCGUGUGCCCUCCGGACUCCGUUUUCUUGCACAAUACUUCUUUUGGUCGAAAAAAAAUUCAUUUUAUAAUCUCCCGAAGGUUUUGACCACCGUACCACGACAAAAUCCUCUGUUUUCAUUUUUGAAUUGGUUGGGGAGAGUCGGCUAUCUCACCCGACACUGGACCCAAGAGCAUACAACAAAGUUGACCACUUCGGGCAAUCAACGAGGAAGAGAUGGAGGCUGACUUAAAAAGGGUGGGUGCCAUGGAGGACGAUCAAGAAGUUACCUCUCGUCUUCAAACUAGAUUCAUGCUGGAGGAACUUCAGAGCUCAGCAAUACCAAAUUCGGUUAUUCCUCCCAAUGCUAGAUUUCUCUCUUAUGAAAAUAUGAAAAAGAGUGUUGCUUUUUCUCCCGCAGCGAGGAAACAUCCGUGGGUGGAUGGAUCUCUAGCCGUCACGGGUAAACUUCGCAAGGAAGUAAUGGAUCUUAAGCAGCAAAUUAAUAAGCUCGAGGAAGAGAAUCUUAUCCUAAGAGGCAUCACCACUAAUAAUAUUACAUCAUCACCUCCGAAGAAAGAGAUCUAAGUAUAUGGGUAUGGGCACUCCCCUUGGCAACUGCCAAGCUUGGGGGAGUGCCCCUGUAUCAUAUCACCUUCACGUCUUUAUCUUUAUUGUUUUACUUAGUUCGAUCCUUUUGGUCAUAUCUUGAUCUAGUAGAAUAAAGUUUUAGUAUGAUCUAGCUUUGAGUUUUGCUUCGAUCUCUAUCUAUGUAAUUGAGUCCGUGAGAUAUAUAUAAUAAAGAGUAAUUUUGAGUUGAGGGCUUUGUUUUCUUGCUAUGAUUUUGAGGGAAUUAAAUAAAGUAAAGAAUAAAAAUAAAUAAAAAGAUCAUAUAUUGGGAGAGUAAUGACUUCACAUAUAAGGAGUAUGUUGAAUAAAAGUUGUUGAGAGUUGACAAACAUAGUUUGGGUCAUUGUUGCAAUUAAUAAGAAGUAAUAAAGAAAGAGAUGUUUCACAUAUAAAUAUACUAUCUUGGAUAUCUUUUGUAAUUGUGAGCACUCAUUAAAAUAUGCCAUGCUAAAAGGUUGAUGUUGGACAAGGAAGACAACAUAAUAGGUUAUGUUUUCUUAUAUCCGAAUAGAAGUUAUAUUGUCAUGGAUCAUCCAACAUGUUGAGCUUAUUGCCUUUCCCCCUCAUGCUAGCCAAAUUCGUUGCACCAAGUAGAGAUACUACUUGUGCUUCCAAACAUCCCUAAACCCAGUUUUGCCAUGAGAGUCCACCAUACCUACCUAUGGAUUGAGUAAGAUCCUUCAAGUAAGUUGUCAUCGGUGCAAGCAAUAAAAAUGGCUCUCUAAAUAUGUAUGAUCUAUUAAUGUGAAGAAAAUAAGCUUUAUACGAACUUGUGAUAUGGAAGAAAUAAAAGCGAUGGACUGCAUAAUAAAGGUCUUUAUCACAAGCGGCAAUAUAAAGUGACGUUAUUUUGCACUAAGAUUUUGUACAUCCAACCAUAAAAGCGCAUGAAAACCUCUGCUUCCCUCAGCGAAGGGCCUAUCUUUUACUUUUAUCUUCUACCCUUAUACAAGAGUCAUGGUGAUCAUCACCUUUCCUUUUUACAGUUUUUCCUUUGGCAAGCACUAUGUGUUGGAGAGAUCCGGAUAUAUAUAUAUCCACUCGGAUGUAGGCUAUCAUAAAGUAUUAUGGUUAAUGUUACCCUUGAGGUAAAAGGUUGGGAGGCGAAACUAUAAGCCCCUAUCUUUCUCUAUGUCCGAUUGAAGCUUUGGACCCAUAAAUAUCACGUGAGUGUUAGCAAUUGUAAAAGACUAAAUGAUAGCUGAGUAUGUGGACUUGGUGAAAAGCUCUUUAAUUGACUCUUUCUGAUUUUACAAUAAAUAGCAAUUGCUUCAAUGACUGAGAUCAUAGUUUGUUAGUUUUUAAUGAAGUUUCUGAUUCAUACUUUACCUUGUGAAUGAAUUUUUACUUUAACAUAAGAAAUUAUAUGGCAUUAUAUGCUACUAUUCUAAAGAUAAUCAUGAUGCCCUCAUGUCUGUAUUUUAUUUUUAUCGACACCUCUAUCUCUAAACAUGUGGACAUAUUUUUCGAUAUCGGCUUUCGCUUGAGGACAAGCGAGGUCUAAGCUUGGGGGAGUUGAUAUGUCAAUUUUGCAUCAUGCUUUUAUAUUGAUAUUUAAUGCAUUAUGGGACGUUAUUACGCAUUGUGUCACAAUACUUAUGCCUAUUCUCUCUUAUUUUAUAAGGUUUACAUGAAGAGGGAGAAUGCCGGCAGCUGGAAUUUUGGACUAGAAAAGGAGCAAAUAUUAGAGACCUAUUCUACACAACUCCAAAAGUCCUGAAACUUCACGGAGCAUGUUUUUGGAAUAUAUAAAAAAUAUUGGGCGAAGAAAGUACCGGAGGGGGGCCAUCAUCCAGUCACAAGGGUGGAGGGCAUGCCCUACACCCUGGGCGUGCCCCCGACCUUGUGCGCCCCUGGCAGGCCUCCGGUGCCUAUCUUUGGCUAUAUGGUGUGUUUUGACCUGGAAAAAAUCAGAAGGAAGCUUUCGGGACGAAGCGCCGCCGUCUCGAGGCGGAACCUGGGCAGAACCAAUCUAGGGCUCCGGCGGAGCUGUUCGGCCGGGGAAACAUCCCUCCGGGAGGGGGAAAUCGAAGCCAUCGUCAUCACCAACGAUCCUCUCAUUGAGAGGGGGUCAAUCUACAUCAACAUCUUCACCAGCACCAUCUCCUCUCAAACCCUAGUUCAUCUCUUGUAUUCGAUCUUGGUCCCAAAACCUCAGAUUGGUAUCUGUGGGUUGCUAGUAGUGUUGAUUACUCCUUGUAGUUGAUGCUAGUUGGUUUAUCCGGUGGAAGAUUAUAUUUUCAGAUCCUUAAUGAUAAUUAAUACUCCUCUGAUCUUGGUCAUAAAUAUGUUUUCUGAGUAGUUAUGUCUAUUCCUGAGGACAUGGGAGAAGUCUUGCUAUAAGUAAUCAUGUGAAUUUAGUAUUCGUUCGAUAUUUUGAUGAGAUGUAUGUUGUCUCUCCUCUAGUGGUGUUAUGUGAACGUCGACUACAUGACACUUCACCAUUAUCUGGGCCUAGGGGAAGGCAUUGGGAAGUAAUAAAUAGAUGAUGGGUUGCUAGAGUGACAGAAGAUUAAACCCUAGUUUGUGCGUUGCUUCGUAAGGGGUUGAUUUGGAUCCAUAUGUUUCAUGCUAUGGUUAGGUUUACCUUAAUACUUCUUUUGUAGUUGCGGAUGCUUGCGAGAGGGGUUAAUGACAAGUGGGAGGCUUGUCCAAGGAAGGGCAGCUGUGACGCCCGGAUAAUUAGGCUACAGUAAUCCCACGCUAAUGAUGCCACGUCACCACGGUUACUGUUGUCGAUCUCGCGAUGGUUCAAAAUCGAUACAAAUUUAAAUUAAAAUAGAGGCAAACAAUAAAAGUUUUCAAUAAAGAAAACUAAAUUAAAACUGAAAACUAAAAUGUUCAAACUUUAGAAAAUAAAUCAUGGCUGAUUGUGGUGGAAAAACCACAUUUUGAUAAAAAAAAUUAGAUGCAAGAAAUUAAUUAAAACAGGGGCUAAACAAUUACUUAAAUGCUUUUAAAAAAGAAUAAACAAUUACAAACUCUUUUAUUUUGAAGAACUAAAUUAAUAGUGGCAAAGGCACAAUUUGUAACACUAAGUUAGGUGCCACUUUUGUAUUUUAUUAAAUCUAAAAUAAAUAGAAACUAUAAUAAAUCGAAAAGGAUAAAUAAAAAGAAAACAAAGAAGAAGGAAAAGGAUCCCCCUGGGCUCCGGCCCAGCAGGCCAUCAACCCCACUGCCCAGCUCCACCCUGGCCCAACCGGCCUCCCUUAUCCCCCACCCCAGGAAACCCUAACCCCCGAGUCACCCCACUCCCCCACACAAUCCCCUCCUCUGCCCCUCCCCCGAUCCAGAUCGGGGGGCAUCGACCCCUUCGCCGCCCGUAGUCCCUGUCGUCGCCGCCACCUCAUCGCCGCCAUGCCCUGGACCUCCGUUCGCCUCGCCUUCGACUCCCACGCCGCUGGAUCGGAGCCGGGGAGUACCUGCUUCGCCGCCCGCCGUCUCCGGCUCCGCCACGCCGUCGCCCGGCCUCGUCGAUGCCUCCCCGCCUCUCCCUCGCCGGCUCCAACAAGCCACGCCGCCCCUCUCUCGUCAACGCAUGUGAGCCCCCGUCGCUCCUUUCCCCGCUGCUGUCCGCACUCCUCGCGCUCACCGCACCCCCGCCUCGCGUUGUGGCCGCGCCGCCGCCGCAUCCAGUAACCGCCUGCGCACCCCAGCUCGUGCCCCGCUUCGCCCUUCACGCGCCAGCUCGUGCAAUUGCACGGCCGCCCGCGCGUGCGCUCGCUCUGCCUGCCCCCGCCGCUGCUGGUGCUGCCUGCUGCUGCUGCCACCACGCCUCGGCCGCACGUGCCCGUCGAGCCCAGUNNNNNNNNNNNNNNNNNNNNNNNNNNNNNNNNNNNNNNNNNNNNNNNNNNNNNNNNNNNNNNNNNNNNNNNNNNNNNNNNNNNNNNNNNNNNNNNNNNNNNNNNNNNNNNNNNNNNNNNNNNNNNNNNNNNNNNNNNNNNNNNNNNNNNNNNNNNNNNNNNNNNNNNNNNNNNNNNNNNNNNNNNNNNNNNNNNNNNNNNNNNNNNNNNNNNNNNNNNNNNNNNNNNNNNNNNNNNNNNNNNNNNNNNNNNNNNNNNNNNNNNNNNNNNNNNNNNNNNNNNNNNNNNNNNNNNNNNNNNNNNNNNNNNNNNNNNNNNNNNNNNNNNNNNNNNNNNNNNNNNNNNNNNNNNNNNNNNNNNNNNNNNNNNNNNNNNNNNNNNNNNNNNNNNNNNNNNNNNNNNNNNNNNNNNNNNNNNNNNNNNNNNNNNNNNNNNNNNNNNNNNNNNNNNNNNNNNNNNNNNNNNNNNNNNNNNNNNNNNNNNNNNNNNNNNNNNNNNNNNNNNNNNNNNNNNNNNNNNNNNNNNACCCGCUCCGGCCCCGUUCCGGCCUCGCCGUGCCCUGGCUUCGCCCAGUGGCCGCGUGCGCGCAGCACAGCCGUGGCUGGCCGGCCACAGCCGCCGCCCCACCCUGGGUCACUGACCACAGGGGCCCCCGCCCUGGCCAGAUAGGCCUAUGACAGUGGGGCCCGCCCACAGAACGUAUAUAAAAAAGGAUUUUUAAAAAAAAUAAUUAAUAAAAAUAAAUAUAUAUAUAAAUUAUAAAGAUAAUUAAUUAAGAUAAUUAAAUAACUUAAUUAAUCCUGUUAAUAAUAACUAAUUAAGAUUAAUUAACCUAAUAACUAAUUAACCUAAUUAACUACUGUUAAUUAGCUAACAGCCCCUGACAGGUGGGACCCACCUGUCAGGUUGACCAGGUCAACGGUCAACGUUGACUGCUGAAGUCAUGUUGACAUCAUGCUGAUGCCUUAAUUAAAUUUCGAAUUAAAUUAAUUUAUUAAAAUCUAAAAAAUGUUUAAAUCUUUAUAAAUUAAUAUAAAAUAAUCCGUAGCUCGGAUGAAAAUACUUUGUACAUGAAAGUUGCUCAGAACGACGAGACGAAUCCAGAUAUGCAGCCCGUUCACUCGCCAUGCAUCCCUAGCAUAGUGAACCUGUAACAUUUCACCUCUGGUUCAUCUGUCCGAAAACGCGAAACACCGGGAAUACCUUCCCGGAUGUUUCCCCCCUUCGUGGGUAUCACCUACUACCACGUUAGGGCACACCUAGCACCGCGUAUUGUCAUGUUACGCCUUGUGUUGCUUUGGUUGCUCUGUCAUUUAUUGUGUCCCCCUCCGGUACUUCUUUCCGGUAGACCCCGAGACUACCGGCGACCCCUAGUUCGACUACGGAGUUGACGACUCCUACUUGCCAGAGCAACCAGGCAAGCCCCCCCCUUGAUCACCAGAUAUCGCCUACUCUACUCUCUACUGCUUGCAUUAGAGUAGUGUAGCAUGUUACUGCUUUCGGUUAAUCCUAUUCUGAUGCAUAGCCUAUCACUGUUGCUACAGUUGUUACCCUUACCCGCUAUCCUACUGCUUAGUAUAGGAUGCUAGUGUUCCAUCAGUGGCCCUACACUCUUGUCCGUCUGCCAUGCUAUACUACUGGGUCGUGAUCACUUCGGGAGGUGAUCACGGGUAUAUACUAUAUACUUUAUAUACAUGACACAUGUGGUGACUGAAGUCGGGUCGGCUCGGUGAGUACCCGCAAGUGAUUCUGAUGAGGGGGCUGAAAGGACAGGUGGCUCCAUCCCGGUAGAGGUGGGCCUGGGUUCCUGACGUCCCCCGACUGUUACUUUAUGGCGGAGCGACAGGGCAGGUUGAGACCACCUAGGAGAGAGGUGGGCCUGGCCCUGGUCGGCGUUCGCGGAUACUUAACACGCUUAACGAGAUCUUGGUAUUUGAUCUGAGUCUGGCCAUUUGGUCUAUACGCACUAACCAACUACGCGGGAACAGUUAUGGGCACUCGACGUCGUGGUAUCAGCCGAAGCUCUUCUUGACGUCAGCGACGGAGCGGCGCGCGCCGGAUUGGACUGGAACGCCUGCUAGGCUAGGUCUGCUUCCGGUCGCGUACACAACAUGCAGGUGUGCAAUGGGUGAUGGGCCCAGACGCCUGCGCGCAUAGGAUUUAGACCGGCGUGUUGACCUCUCUCUUGAGCCUAGGUGUGGCUGCAACGUGUUGAUCUUCCACGGCCGGGCAUGACCCAGAAAAGUGUGUCCGGCCAAAUGGGAUCGAGCGUGUUGGGUUAUGUGGUGCACCCCUGCAGGGAAGUUUAUCUAUUCGAAUAGCCGUGUCCCUCGGUAAAAGGACGACCUGGAGUUGUACCUUGACCUUAUGACAACUAGAACCGGAUACUUAAUAAAACACACCCUUCCAAGUGCCAGAUACAACCCGGAGUUCGCUCUCUAACAGGGCGACGAGGAGGGGAUCACCGGGUAGGAUUAUGCUAUACGAUGCUACUUGGUGAACUUACCAUCUACUCUCUCUUACAUGUUGCAAGAUGGAGAUGGCCAGAAGCGUAGUCUUCGACAGGACUAGCUAUCCCCCUCUUAUUCUGGCAUUCUGCAGUUCAGUCCACUGAUAUGCCCCUUUACACAUAUACCCAUGCAUAUGUAGUGUAGCUCCUUGCUUGCGAGUACUUUGGAUGAGUACUCACGGUUGCUUUCCUUCCUCUUUUCCCCCAUUCCUUUCUAUCUGGUUGUCGCAACCAGAUGCUGGAGCCCAGGAGCCAGAUGCCACCAUCGACGACGACUCCUACUACACUGGAGGUGCCUGCUACUACGUGCAGCCCACUGGCGACGACCAGGAGUUAGUUAGGAGGAUCCCAGGCAGGAGGCCUAUGCCUCGUUCGAUCUGUAUCCCAGUUGUGCUAGCCUUCUUAAGGCAAUCUUGUUUAACUUAUGUCUGUACUCAGAUAUUGUUUCUUCCGCUGACUCGUCUAUGAUCGAGCAGUUGUAUUCGAGCCCUCGAGGCCCCUGGCUUGUAUUAUGAUGCUUGUAUGACUUAUUUAUGUUGUAGAGUUGUGUUGUGAUAUCUUCCCGUGAGUCCCUGAUCUUGAUCGUACACAUUUGCGUGCAUGAUUAGUGUACGGUCAAAUCGGGGGCGUCACAAGUUGGUAUCAGAGCCGACUGCCUGUAGGAAUCCCCCUUUCCAACUCCUUGGCCGAAGUCGAGUCUAGACAUUGCAAAAACUUUUACUAACAUGGCUGUGUGUCUUACGGGCCCACGUCGCCAUUGGGUGGUAUUAGGAUCUUUUACUCCUUGUCUAUACUCUGGGACUCUGAUCUCUCUUCUAUUCAGGUUAAGUGAAUUUUGCUAAAUCUAACAUUAGGAUCUCGUUAUCACUUUCACCCGGAGAGCCCCUUAUUACUGAUGAUCGUCUCCUGCACGUGAAGACCCUGAAGAUACUCUCCGCUGAUAACCCGAGAACUUGUGUUCAUCGCUUUUGCAAUUCCCUUUCAUCGAUAAACUCCUAUGGAUAACCGCGUACACUCGCCAUUCAUACAAUAUUUCCCAGUUGAUCUUGUUAUUACAAGAUACCCCGAAAUUAUCUUUGUUGUUCCGAGAAUUCUUGAGCUUACUGCCUUGUUGUUCUUUGUCACCUGAAUACCCCUACAGAUAAUUCUCGCACUUACCGAGUAUCCGCUCAUCCCCAGUUGAUUCAAGUAUUUCACAAAAGUGUUCAAAAUACCAUUCGAUCUUUCAAAAAUCCUCAGGAGCCUUUUUGCUCUUGAAAUUCUUGCUUACUUGCAUAAUGAUUAAUCCCAUAAGUCUCGAAAUCUUAUUGGCACCCUUUGUCAUUAUCUUUUUGAGUCCAUUGAUUCAAUAUGUUGCGAAUGCUCGCAAUCCUCAAUCAGAUCCUAGAAUUCAUCCUUCUGGCUCAGACAUCAUUUUUAACAUGAGCUGGAUCUCGACCAAUCAAAUCGUCGUCGUUUGUACCCCUAAGGCUAUUCAGCUUAUCCAUCCCUAAUCAGAGCAUUGCUUCUGAUCCCUUGUCUUGGAAUUCAUAAUUCUUUUGCAAAUGAGCUCUGAAGUAGUCAGUUGUUUCUAUCAUCUGAUCUCCUUACAUGCUUUUUCUUCUGGUUGAGUACCGAUGCUCACACCAGAUCCCUUAUGGACCAUCAGAACCUUGUUGGAUUUUAUCCGACGACGUCCUUCAUAUUCAAUAACUUUGUGAGUCUUUUCUCGGAUACAUAAUGCCUUUGGUAAAUUGUAUCCUAUGCUUUGUCAACAAUGCUCUCCUUUCGAGCUUGUGUUAUUUACUCCUAAAGUUUGCGGUAUAUGUUCCCAAGAUGCCCCUAUGGAUUGAAGCCUUCUCUAAUCCGUGUGAACCCGAAAGUUUUCACGAGUCAUACUCUUCUGGUGCUUCGCCAGAUAAAAUUUCAGCACUACAACUUCUUCGUAAACGAGAAGUGAAUGAAAGGUUAUGCAUUGCAGGAGUGGGAGUCGACCUUGAACAUUUGUGUUCAUGCCCACGGACACGAUGUGGAACUUAUCAUGAAAGCUUCUUGUAAGAAUAUUUAAACAUUCGAAUGAUUCUUCCGGUGCAGUAAAUUGGAUCCCUUGCAGUUAUGGUUUCAACCAUUCUAACCAUAUUCAAUACAUCUGGAAGGAAACCAUUCCAUUGCCUCAUCUAUCAUGACAAGAUUAAAAUAUCUGCUAUUGCAAGUCUGCACUCCAGUUCAGUUUCUAUGCUGAUCUUCCCUUGAGUAGUACCCUCAAGUAUCUCGAGAUUAUCACGGAACUGCAUAACUUCAUAUGAGUUCUCCAUCAAGUAUUACAUUCUCAUUGAUUCCAAUUUUUCACGGGCUCCGAGUUAUUAAACACUCAAGGACAUCGAUAACUGAAUCGAGUCCGCAUCGCGAUUGAGCAACUCUUGGUAACCUUCAUUACUUACGAGUUUAACCUCAAUCACGUCAUUCCUAGCCUGCUUGGCUAUAGCCUUGUCGUGCCAAUUUUAACUGUGCUACCGGGUCCUUCUUCCCGGAGCACAAAUUUCGACGGUGAGCUAAUCCUACAUCGUUCUUCCUCGUCAUAUCAUUGGUUCUUGAAUAGCAAGAUUAAUUUCGAGUUUGUGUCGUACCCUUGUUUCGAAUAACCUUUCGCUUCAUCAUUCCUUUAACUUGAUGUCAUCACCGAUCGAUUACAUCUUCAUGAAACCUCUCGACAAAUGUGUCGUGAUCAUCAUCAGCAUUGAGAGCUCUUCCAGGAUAUCAAUUGAAUUCAUGAUGAGAAAUACCAUCCUUGCCCUCGAUGAUUUGUGUUGUCAUCGACCACUUUAUUGCCUUCCCUCCAACACAAACUUGUUCGUGUUCUGUGUUAUACCUUGAGUUCCUUGCUAUCCAACAUUUGUUCUUCUUUACCUUAGAGUAUUACCAUCUUUUAUAUCAAGAAUGUCUUGAGAAUUUCACCACCCCUUAAGAAUUCUUGAUAUAGUAAUACAUCUUGCCGUCUACAUUCAGUUCUUGGUCCCCAUGUUGAUUUUAACCGAAGUACCCACAAAUGAACUGUGAUGUGUAAAAUUCAAAACUUCCAGCAACCCUAUUGCUUGUAAGUUAAUGAACGGUAGUUUCAUUCCUUGUGUAUUGGUUAUCGAAUCACCAUUCUAACAUUGAUCAUGCUACCUAAGCCCAUAUUCGGGUGCACCUUUCAACCAAUGUUUAAUUGUGUAUGUUUUCCUCGAGCAUACAUCAUUAAGUCAUUCGAUCUAGCUAAUGUUAUCUCCUUGUUCACAUAGUUGUGGAAAUCCAUCUUUUGGAAAUCUCAAUGGAUUGUCGCUGAGUCAAUCAGUCACCUCCUCACCUCUCCUUGACUUAACGAUGAACCCUUGUUCGGAACUCGCUUCCAUAGUUCAUCUCCCGAGAAUCUUCGAUGUCGUUUCGACAAUUUGUGUUGCACCUUUCUUCUCAGGCAUCCUGAAUCUGAGUUAUCCUAACACCGAUCAGAUCUGAAUCUCGGUCAGAUAUGAUGGUUGGAACAUAAUUCCAAGAGUUAUAAUGUUGGUCUUUAUACAACCCGGUAAGGUGGUGUCUUUGCUUAGCACCCCUAGCCAGAGGACCUUUUGUUAUAAUUUCCUUUUUAGCAAGGUUAACCAUUCUUCCAUGAGGAAAUUGAAAGACUUAUUCUAUAUGUUGUUCCUGAUGAAUCCUUUUUGUAUCCAAGUCCGACCUUUGCUUGAAGACCAUGUCAAUGCUAUCUCGAAGCAUGUCUGUGGUACUCCGAUUUUCAACAAGAACACUUAUCCCAAUGCUAAUUGUUUCUUGCUCAAUUAUCCAAACACCGUUGUAUGGGUAAUCUCAUGAAAUUUCUCUCCCCUUACCUAAAGGGUUUUCUACAUUAUAUCCUGCCACGAAUAUCAUGCUAUGUUUGUCCUUGGGAAGGAUAUACCCCUGAAUAAUGUGUUUAAACACAUUUUCCUUUCCAUUGUUCUAUUCAAUCUGAUGAUCACCUUUUCCUUUACAUUGUAUUGUUUAACCUUUCUGGUGAUCUGUAUGAUCUAAGCAGUAAUAUUCUUCUGCUUAUGUAAACACCUCGGUGUACAACUCUGUCAGUAAGACCCUGUUACUAUUGUUGGUGACAUUCUGGUAACCACCGAUGGACGAGAACCUUGCCUAUUGGUCCGCCUCGUUCAACGAGCAGGAAAAUGGUUCUCUUCGUCCCUCGCCCUUGGUACCGAUAUUGUCGCCAACAUAAUUGACGGGCUAUCCUCUGACAUGCCUUGCUUACAUGGUCAUGCAAGAUGUCAGCCCCCUUUCUACUUUAACCCACAUGGUGGGCCCAUAACCCACAGUUCCACAGGAUAGAAACCUGACUCUCCUGUACACCCCUAUUUUGAAAGUUGUCCCUUACGCUUGGCUUCGUAUGCAAUUCAUGAGCCACCUUCCUAGUGAUCUGUUCUGAUAACAGAUGCAAUACUUAAUCUCGAUGCUCUGAAACCCUUUCACACACUUUUUCGGACAUCGAACGAUUGCCUAUCCGCUUGAAACUUCUUAUUGCACAUUCUUACCUUGCUCUCGAUGACUUUCUUAAAUUUCAACUCGAGAGAUGCAUCUACGCCUCGUUCACUGAGAUAGCCCCCAGGUACCUAGCAUGUGUUGAGCUUCGUCCUUCCCGAGUCUUCCCCCUUAACCUUUUCCGUAAGUACGAUGGUGGUCCUGAAGAAAGGAUGCCGGCUUCAUCAUGAUGACUUCAAGCAGAGAAAUGAAGGCAUCAACUUAAUGGAUCGACCUCUUCGAGAAGAGUAACCAAGGCCAAGAAGAUCCGUUAGAAUUUCGUAACUAAACCUUCCCCCUUUCACUACCUCUUAAAUCUCGGGACGAGAUUUCUUGUAGUGGAGGAGAAUUGUGACGCCUGGAUAAUUAGGCUACAGUAAUCCCACGCUAAUGAUGCCACGUCACCACGGUUACUGUUGUCGAUCUCGCGAUGGUUCAAAAUCGAUACAAAUUUAAAUUAAAAUAGAGGCAAACAAUAAAAGUUUUCAAUAAAGAAAACUAAACUAAAACUAAAAACUAAAAGGUUCAAAAUUUAGAAAAUAAAUCAUGGCUGAUUGUGGUGGAAAAACCACAUUUUGAUAAAAUGUUUAGAUGCAAGAAAUUAAUUAAAACAGGGGCUAAACAAUUACUUAAAUUCUUUUAAAAAAGAAUAAACAAUUACAAACCCUUUUAUUUUGAAGAACUAAAUUAAUAGUGGCAAAGGCACAAUUUGUAACACUAAGUUAGGUGCCACUUUUGUAUUUUAUUAAAUCUAAAAUAAAUAGAAACUAUAAUAAAUCGAAAAGGAUAAAUAAAAAGAAAACAAAGAAGAAGGAAAAGGAUCCCCCUUGGCUCCGGCCCAGCAGGCCAUCAACCCCACUGGCCCAGCUCCACCCUGGCCCAACCGGCCUCCCUUAUCCCCCACCCCAGGAAACCCUAACCCCCGAGUCACCCCACUCCCCCCCACACAAUCCCCUCCUCUGCCCCUCCCCCGAUCCAGAUCGGGGGGCAUCGACCCCUUCGCCGCCCGUAGUCCCUGCCGUCGCCGCCGCCUCAUCGCCGCCAUGCCCUGGACCUCCGCUCGCCUCGCCUUCGACUCCCACACCGCUGGAUCGGAGCCGGGGAGUACCUGCUUCGCCNNNNNNNNNNNNNNNNNNNNNNNNNNNNNNNNNNNNNNNNNNNNNNNNNNNNNNNNNNNNNNNNNNNNNNNNNNNNNNNNNNNNNNNNNNNNNNNNNNNNNNNNNNNNNNNNNNNNNNNNNNNNNNNNNNNNNNNNNNNNNNNNNNNNNNNNNNNNNNNNNNNNNNNNNNNNNNNNNNNNNNNNNNNNNNNNNNNNNNNNNNNNNNNNNNNNNNNNNNNNNNNNNNNNNNNNNNNNNNNNNNNNNNNNNNNNNNNNNNNNNNNNNNNNNNNNNNNNNNNNNNNNNNNNNNNNNNNNNNNNNNNNNNNNNNNNNNNNNNNNNNNNNNNNNNNNNNNNNNNNNNNNNNNNNNNNNNNNNNNNNNNNNNNNNNNNNNNNNNNNNNNNNNNNNNNNNNNNNNNNNNNNNNNNNNNNNNNNNNNNNNNNNNNNNNNNNNNNNNNNNNNNNNNNNNNNNNNNNNNNNNNNNNNNNNNNNNNNNNNNNNNNNNNNNNNNNNNNNNNNNNNNNNNNNNNNNNNNNNNNNNNNNNNNNNNNNNNNNNNNNNNNNNNNNNNNNNNNNNNNNNNNNNNNNNNNNNNNNNNNNNNNNNNNNNNNNNNNNNNNNNNNNNNNNNNNNNNNNNNNNNNNNNNNNNNNNNNNNNNNNNNNNNNNNNNNNNNNNNNNNNNNNNNNNNNNNNNNNNNNNNNNNNNNNNNNNNNNNNNNNNNNNNNNNNNNNNNNNNNNNNNNNNNNNNNNNNNNNNNNNNNNNNNNNNNNNNNNNNNNNNNNNNNNNNNNNNNNNNNNNNNNNNNNNNNNNNNNNNNNNNNNNNNNNNNNNNNNNNNNNNNNNNNNNNNNNNNNNNNNNNCUUCCUCCCCCUCCCCUGUUGGCCGCGUCGGGCGUCGGCGCCCACGCGCCCGCUCCGGCCCCGUUCCGGCCUCGCCGUGCCCUGGCUUCGCCAAGUGGCCGCGUGCGCGCGGCACAGCCGUGGCUGGCCGGCCACAACCGCCGCCCCACCCUCUGUCACUGACCACAGGGGCCCCCGCCCUGGCCAGAUAGGCCUAAGACAGUGGGGCCCGCCCACAGAACAUAUAUAAAAAAGGAUUUUUUUAAAAAAUUAAUUAAUUAAAAUAAAUAAAUAAAUAAAUAAAUAAUAAAGAUAAUUAAAUAACUUAAUUAAUCCUGUUAAUAAUAACUAAUUAAGAUUAAUUAACCUAAUUAACUACUGUUAAUUAGCUAACAGCCCCUGAUAGGUGGGACCCACCUGUCAGGUUGACCAGGUCAACGGUCAAUGUUGACUGCUGACGUCAUGCUGAUGUCAUGCUGAUGCAUUAAUUAAAUUUCGAAUUAAAUUAAUUUAUUAAAAUCUAGAAAAUGUUUAAAUCUUUAUAAAUUAAUAUAAAAUAAUCCGUAGCUCGGAUGAAAAUACUUUGUACAUGAAAGUUGCUCAGAACGACGAGACGAAACCAGAUACGCAGCCCGUUCGUCCGCCACGCAUCCCUAGCAUAGUCAACCUGUAACAUUUCACCUCUGGUUCAUCUGUCCGAAAAUGCGAAACACCGGGAACACCUUCCCGGAUGUUUCCCCCCUUCGUCGGUAUCACCUACUACCGCGUUAGGGCAUACCUAGCACCGUGUAUUGUCAUGUUACGCUUUGUGUUGCUUUGAUUGCUUUGUUAUUUAUUGUGUUCCCCCUCCGUUACUUCUUUCCGGUAGACCCCGAGACUACCGGCGACCCCCAGUUCGACUACGGAGUUGACGACUCCUACUUGCCAGAGCAACCAGGCAAGCCCCCCCCCUUGAUCACCAGAUAUCGCCUACUCUACUCUCUACUGCUUGCAUUAGAGUAGUGUAGCAUGUUACUGCUUUCGGUUAAUCCUAUUCUGAUACAUAGCCUGUCACUGUUGCUACAGUUGUUACCCUUACCUGCUAUCCUACUGCUUAGUAUAGGAUGCUAGUGUUCCAUCAGUGGCCCUACACUCUUGUCCGUCUGCCAUGCUAUACUACUGGGCCGUGAUCACUUCGGGAGGUGAUCACGGGUAUAUACUAUAUACUUUAUAUACAUGACACAUGUGGUGACUGAAGUCGGGUCGGCUCGGUGAGUCCCGCAAGUGAUUCUGAUGAGGGGGCUGAAAGGACAGGUGGCUCCAUCCCGGUAGAGGUGGGCCUGGGUUCCUGACGGCCCCCGACUGUUACUUUAUGGCGGAGCGACAGGGCAGGUUGAGACCACCUAGGAGAGAGGUGGGCCUGGCCCUGGUCGGCGUUCGCGGAUACUUAACACGCUUAACGAGAUCUUGGUAUUUGAUCUGAGUCUGGCCAUUUGGUCUAUACGCACUAACCAACUACGCGGGAACAGUUAUGGGCACUCGACGUCGUGGUAUCAGCCGAAGCUCUUCUUGACGUCAGCGACGGAGCGGCGCGCGCCGGAUUGGACUGGAAUGCCUGCUAGGCUAGGUCUGCUUCCGGCCGCGUACGCAACGUGCAGGUGUGCAAUGGGCGAUGGGCCCAGACCCCUGCGCGCAUAGGAUUUAGACCGGCGUGUUGACCUCUCUGUUGAGCCUAGGUGGGGCUGCGACGUGUUGAUAUUCCGCGGCCGGGCAUGACCCAGAAAUGUGUGUCCGACCAAAUGGGAUCGAGCGUGUUGGGUUAUGUGGAGCACCCCUGUAGGGAAGUUUAUCUAUUCGAAUAACCGUGUCCCUCGGUAAAAGGACGACCCGGAGUUGUACCUUGACCUUAUGACAACUAGAACCGGAUACUUAAUAAAACACACCCUUCCAAGUGCCAGAUACAACCCGGUGUUCACUCUCUAACAGGGCGACGAGGAGGGGAUCACCGGGUAGCAUUAUGCUAUACGAUGCUACUUGGUGAACUUACCAUCUACUCCCUCCUACAUGCUGCAAGAUGGAGAUGGCCAGAAGCGUAGUCUUCGACAGGACUAGCUAUCCCCCUCUUAUUCUGGCAUUCUGCAGUUCAGUCCACUGAUAUGCCCCUUUACACAUAUACCCAUGCAUAUGUAGUGUAGCUCCUUGCUUGCGAGUACUUUGGAUGAGUACUCACGGUUGCUUUCCUUCCUCUUUUCCCCCUUUCCUUUCUAUCUGGUUGUCGCAACCAGAUGCUGGAGCCCAGGAGCCAGAUGCCACCAUCGACGACGACUCCUACUACACUGGAGGUGCCUGCUACUACGUGCAGCCCGCUGGCGACGACCAGGAGUUAGUUAGGAGGAUCCCAGGCAGGAGGCCUAUGCCUCGUUCGAUCUGUAUCCCAGUUUGUGCUAGCCUUCUUAAGGCAAUCUUGUUUAACUUAUGUCUGUACUCAGAUAUUGUUGCUUCCGCUGACUCGUCUAUGAUCGAGCACUUGUAUUCGAGCCCUCGAGGCCCCUGGCUUGUAUUAUGAUGCUUGUAUGACUUAUUUAUGUUGUAGAGUUGUGUUGUGAUAUCUUCCCGUGAGUCCCUUAUCUUGAUCGUACACAUUUGCGUGCAUGAUUAGUGUACGGUCAAAUCGGGGGCGUCACAGCAGCACCCAAGCACCGGUCCACCCACAUAUCAAAUUAUCAAAGUAACGAACGCUAAUCAUAUGAGCAUGAUGAAAACUAACUUGACAACAAUUCCCAUGUAUCCUGGGGGAAGGCUUGUCCAGGCUUGUCCUUUGCUACAAAAAGGAUUGGGCCAUCUAGCUGCACCUUAGUUAUUGUAUUUACUUGUUACUCGUUACGAAUUAUCUUAUCACAAAACUAUCUGUUACCGAUAAUUUCAGUGCUUGCAGAGAAUACCUUGCUGAAAACCACUUGUCAUUUCCUUCUGCUCUUUGUUGGGUUCGACACUCUUACUUAUCAAAAGGAAUACGAUAGAUCCCCUAUACUUGUGGGUCAGCACUAUGUACCCUCAUAGACCGUAAGCGGAAGCGUUUCACAACGCGGAUGACAUAGUCGAACUUCUUCGCGCUUCAACCGAUCAAGUUCCGAACGCACGGCACCUCCGCAUUCUGCACACGUUCAGCUUGGUGACGUCCUCACCUUCUUGAUCCAGCAAGACGUCGAGGUAGUAGAUGAGUUCCGUCAGCACAGCGGCGUGGUGAUGGUGAUGGUGAAGUGAUCCUCGCAAGGCUUCGUGUACGAUUGAAAGUAUGUCUAGAGGGGGGUGAUUAGACUACUUGACCAAAUAAAAAUCUUGCCUUUCCCCAAUUUUAUGUCUUGGCAGAUUUUAGCAACUUAGCACUAGUCAAGUAAACAAUCUACACAUGCAAGUCUAAGAGUAUAGCAGCAGAAUGUAAAACAUUGCACAUGAAGGUAAAGGGAUGAGUUUAGAGGGAGCAAACGCAAUGUAGACACGGAGAUUUUUGGCGUGGUUCCGAUAGGUGGUGCUAUCGUACAUCCACGUUGAUGGAGACUUCAACCCACGAAGGGUAAUGGUUGCGCGAGUCCAUGAAGGGUUCCACCCACGAAGGGUCCAUGAAGAAGCAACCUUGUCUAUCCCACCAUGGCCAUCGCCCACGAAGGACUUGCCUCACUAGGGUAGAUCUUCACGAAGUAGGCGAUCUCCUUGCCCGUACAAACUCCUUGGUUCAACUCCACAAUCUUGACGGAGGCUCCCAAGUGACACCUAACCAAUCUAGGAGACACCAGUCUCCAAAAGGUAAUAGAUGGUGUGUUGAUGAUGAACUCCUAGCUCUUGUGCUUCAAAUGACAGUCUCCCAACACUCAACUCUCUCUCACAGAUUUGGAUUUGGUGGAAAGAUGAUUUGAGUGGAAAGCAACUUGGAGAAGGCUAGAGAUCAAGAUUCAUAUGGUUGGUGUGGGAUAUCUUGACCUCAACACAUGAGUAGGUGGUUCUCUCUUAGAAAAUGUAUGUUGGAAGUGUAGGCAUGUUCUGAUGGCUCUCUCCACGAAUGAAGAGUGGGUGGAGGGGUAUUUAUAGCCUCCACACAAAAUCUAACCGUUACACACAAAUCACCAAACUCGGUGGGACCGAAUAAUGAAACUCGGUCAGACCUAUUUAGUUCAAAAUGUGAACGUUAGGAUUUUCGGUGGGACCGACAUGUCAACUCGAUGAGACCGAUUUCAUUAGGGUUAGGGCAUAACGUAAUCUCGGUGGGACCGAUUAUACAAACUCGGUGAGACCGACUUGGUAAUAAGCUAACCAGAGAGUUGGUCAGGCAAACUCGAUGGGACCGAUUCGCUCAUCUUGGUGAGACCGAAACGUUAUGAAGGGGAAACAGAGAGUUUGCAAUGCGAACUCAGUGGGACCGAUCGCUCAUUUCGGUUGGACCGAAAUGUUACAAAGGGAAACAGAGAGUUUGCACACCCAUCUCGAUGAGACCGAGAUCCCUAUCGGUGAGGAAAUGACUAGGGUUUUGUGGCAGUGGCUAUGUCAACUGAACUCGGUGGCGCCGGAUAGAAAGUUUCGGUGGGGCCGAGUUUGACUUUUGGUUUGGGACAAAUGUGAAUAUGAGAAAGUGGUUGAGGGUUUUUGGAGCAUAUCACUAAGCAUUUCGAGCAAGUAACCCAUUAAGCAACACCUCAUCCCCUUUUAAUAGUAUUGGCUUUUCCUAUGGACUCAAUGUGAUCUUGGAUCACUAAAAGUAAAAUGUAGAGUCUUGAGCUUUAGAGCUUGAGCCAAUCUUUUGUCCUUAGCAUUUUGAGGGGUCCACAUUUCUAAUCCAUGCCAUGCCAAUCAUUGAGCUUUCCUGAAAUAUUUAUCUUGAAAUAGUAUUAGCUCAAUGAGCUAUAUGUUGUUAGGAAUUACCAAAACCACCCAGGGAUAGUUGAACUUUCAAUCUCCCCCUUUUUGGUAAUUGACGACAACAUAUAGAUCAAAGCUUCGACAAAUGAUCAUAAGAUUGAAAAACAUCGUCACUUUGAGAAGUAUGUGAUAAGCAAGAGCUCCCCCUAAAUUUGUGCAUUAUUUAAAAUUUGCUUCUGAAUGCAAAUGCACAAUCGAUUUGGAUCAUGGGUCACUCUUCCAUGUCACAUACAUCUUGGUGGAGCGCUCAAAAUGAUAAAAAAUAAAAAAACAUGCACUCAUCACCAAUCAAAGUGAGUGAUCAUAAAUGGAAUAUAAGAGAUAACAUCAUCGAAGCAAGCAUUAAGGUAGCAUAUGAUCAAUCACAUGAUCAAACAAGUAUCUCACACAGACAAAGACAUAGAGUAUCAACCAAGCGCAUAAAAAGGUUCAACCAAAAGCAAGAGAGAUAAAAGGCAAAACACUCUCUCUCUCUCUCUCGAAGCCUAUGAUCUAUACAUAUUUCUCCCCCUCUGGCAACAAGUUACCAAAAAGUUUGAAAAUGCAUAGUGCUAUGCGUCUCUCAGGCUUGGUCUUCGGGAGGUGGUGUAGAGAGAACUCCAAGGACGAAGGCAUCUAUUGAUGUAGUUGGAGCUGGUGGAGUGGCUGCUGGAGGUGGCACUAAAGCUGUAGCUGCUGGUGCAGAUGAUGUAGCUCUAGAAUCAGGUACAGGCACUGCAGCAGACCUCUGACUCCUUGGCACUCGCUGAAAAGCAUCAGUAGUUGCCUUCCCUCUCCUCUCUUCUGCUUCCUCCUGGAGCUGCUCAACUGCUGUUUGUAUCUCAGUAACCUUCAGAUCAAGAUCAUAAAAUUUUGUCUCUAUGAUCCUCUCCAGACUCUCCUGGUUUUGAGUCAGGGUGGCCAAGCCCUUCUCAAUCCUUAGUGUAGAUUGGAUCAGAUAUGCAAGCUGAUCUUGCUUGCUCUUCAGGAAAACUUGAGAUGCUUCCUCAACACUUGGCAUCUUGGCAGCUUUCUCUACCUUAGCUUUAGCUCUCUUCUCUUGUACUUGAGCUGAUGAUGGUUCCUCCUCAUUCAUUACGACCUUGUUGUCUUCAAAUUCAGGAUAGAGAGGUAGAUGCUCCUUGUCCAACAAGUAUGUUCCUGUGCCCAUCUUAGCAUUGAUGAGCUCCUGAAUAUGUGGAGCAUACCAACAACUUCUCUUUUGGUCAGCAUCUGUCCUCUUGAUUGUCUCUACAAUCAGGCUCAUGACUUUGAACUUUUGAGGGACAUCAAACAGUUGUAGCAGGUUGAUGGAAUGUCCUCUGAUCAUCUUGUGAUCUCCUGACUUGGGUAGCAGUGUGUGUCUUAGGAUUUGUGUUGAUGGUAGGCAGACCAGACAACAAGUAAUGUACAGAUCCAAGCUUGUGUGUCUCCAAAGCUUUAUCUGGGAUCUCUUUGUACAUGUUUGCCAUUGAGUUGUGGUCUUUCUUCUUCUUGGCAUACACAUCCAAGUCAUCUUUAUGUUCCUCUAGGGCAUUGAUCAGCUUGGCCCAUUCUUCAAUAGUGGAUUGGUACCUAGUACCUUCAGACAUCCAUAUGAUCUUCCCAUCUGGGUAAAAGUGAGCAGUGGAGUAAAACUGCAUGAUCAGCUCAUCAUUCCAUUUUGUGAGAUUCUGCCCAACAAAUUUGUCAACUCCACAUGCUUUGAAGCUGUCAUAGACUCCUGGGAAGUGAUCUUCCUUCUCCUUGGGGUAUUCCCAAUCAACCCAUCUCAUGUCACAUACAAUUGGCUUCUUGUCAAGCAAAAUUGUCUCAUAGAAGUCUUGUUGUUCUUUGGCAUGAAAUUUGUAAUCAACUGCAGUCCUUCUCCUCACAACAUAGGGAUCAGACUAUCUCCACAAUCUCAGUCCAACAUCUUUUCUGAUGUGCAUGUCUUCAGCCACUGGAUGAGCAUCAUUGUGGUCUGGAAUCUUGGGUUUCAGUUUUCUCAAAAUAAGAGACUCAUCAUCCUCUUCUUCAACUUGAGGCACUUGGGCCUUGUUCUUCUCUUCAGCAGGAAUACUUCUAGUGUUCCUCUUGGGCUUUGGGGGUUUCUGAGCUUGAGCUUUGGGAGCUGGCUUGGGCUUUGAUGGAGCAGCCCCUGACUUAAUAGCAUCUCCCAUGAGCUUCUGAGCUUUGGGUGCUGGAGCAUCCUCUUCUUCUUCCUCUUCUUCAGAAUCUCUUACCAUAGUUGAUUUUACGAGAACUUUUGCAGUUGUGGUUGUUGCCCUCUUCUUUUUCUUGUCAUCUCCUGCUGCUUCACCAUCGUCCGAUUCUAUGGUGAAUUUCAUGGUUUCUCCUGUUGGAGCUUUCCUUGGCUUUGACAUUGGGAUUCUUCUGGCAGGUGCCUUCUUGUGCAUCCCUGGCUUUGUUGCAGCAGUUGUGCCAUAUUCUUUCUUCAACACUUUCUUCUUUGAGGUGGCCUCAUCCUCAACAGCCACAUAAUCCUCAUCCUCAGAGUCUGAGGUUCUCUUCUUCCUGGUUCUGGUGGCUGCUUUGGGCAAGUUGCUAGGUGUGCUUCUACUGCCCUCAUCAUAGCUGCUUGAGGGAUCUGAACCCUCACUCAAUUGCACAUGUUCUUCAGAUCUGUUCUGACUGUCACUCUGGUUAGCCAUCUUGGCAAUCUUACUGACAGCAAACCCUGUGAAUAGAUGUAGAUGAGGUAGAGUGGAUGAGUAUCACAAAGUGCAGAGUUUUUGCAAAAUAGAUGACUCAAAAACAUAGUUUUGGUUCCCCACAGAAAGCAUUUCGGAGCUAUCGAUCUGUUAAACUCGGUGAUACCAAAGCAAUUUUGGAGCCUAAACUAGUGAACUCGGUCAGACCGAGUCACAGUUUGGUGGCACCGAGACUGCUAGGGUUUCACAGAGUCGAACUCGGUCGCAUCGAUGUGCAGUUUUCGGUCAGACCGAAAAUGCAUGUGCUAUGGCCUAAGCCAAAUCGGUGAGACCGAUUUCUAAAACUCGGUCGGUCUAAGAUGAGUUCGGCGGAGACCUAACCCUAAAUUUUCAAAUCCAAUCUAACCUAAAGGAAGUUUUCAGUGGAUGGAUUGUUUGCAUACAUGGUCAUGAUCAUGGCAAAGCAAUGUGCUAUGAAUCAGAGUUAAAGGAAUAGCACAUAGAGUCAAACCCAUACCCUAGUUCAGCGGGAGUUCGCUACGGCAGCAACGGCGGAGCAGAAAUCCGUUGACGACGAUGGAAACCAGCGGUGGGAGGUCGCUGGUGGCGAGGAGACGAUCCGCAGACCCGAGGAGGCAGAGCAGGAUACAUGCGCGGGCUGAGGAGUCUGAAGAAAUUUCCAAAAUCUCACCCAUGGGUUUAUAUAUCUCGACCCUAUCGGUGUGACCAAGUGGAACAACUCGGUGGCACCGAGAUGCAGAAUCGCAAGCGGUUACUGCAACUCGGUGUGACCGAAAAGUUCAAAUUGAUUGCACCAAGAUGGAAAACCUAGAUCAACUUAGUGAACUCGGUGUGACCGAAUUGGAUGACUCGGUCAUACCGAAAUGCACAAAGAGAUUUUGGAAGUUUAAGUCUAUGACGAAUCGGGGACUCCAAGUGCUCCUCACACAGAGUGGUUCAAAUCUGAUUUGAUCAAACUUUGUGAUGUAGCAUGAAUAGAAUUUGAGACGAGAAAAGCAUAGAUAGCUAGAGGGAGUUCUUAGGCAUUCUUGUCCAUCCAUUUGGCAAAAGAGAAAAAAACCAAACAAUCAAAGCAACAAAUGGAUGUCCUCGAAUGAGUAAAAUAUGCAAUCAACAUGCUCACACAAUAAAAUGGCAAAUGAAAUAUGUGACAAAGCAUGCACAAACAUUCUAGAAUCUAUCAAGCAAUUUUGUGAUGACUAGGUCAUCUAUAUAUGAGUAUAUUGACUUAGGAGUCAAAUGAGAACAUUUGAUCAUAGGUCAUACUCAUCAUUUAAGCACAAGUGGGGUUACCACAUUUACAUAAAGCAUUGUUGUGUUCACAUCAUUAGAGUUGCUUUAGCUCAAUUGAUUAGAGUAAAGCUCCCCCGGAUGUGAUAUCCCCCCUAAGAGGGAUGAACUAACCUUGGGUUUUGUCGAUGAUGACUUCAUGUAGGUGUUGAAGAUGUAGAUGCUCAAUGUUGAUGUAGAUCAUUUGGAGCAAUCCACUGGAGUGAGUUGCACUUUCAAUACCUACACGGGUUAGUCCCACAAGGAACAAACAAGGAUAUCCAUGGACAUAGAGUGAUGUUCACAUUAGAUGAUGUCCAUGAAAGCAUUAGGUUACCUUGUCCCUUGUCUUACCAACAAGAGGGUUUGUGACUCCUUGAACUAGUGCAAGAUAUGGAAGUUGUUUGCACAUGUCCUUGCCAAAAGAUAUGAGUGAAGUAUGUUGGCGGACUCACCCUCAAGAACUCUCUAGUUCCUUUUCUUCAGGAUCCACACCAUCUUGAUGGGAAUCCUUGGAGUUGUAGUCGUACUUGAUGAAGUGGAACUUGUUGUAGUCUUGGGAACCCACUUGACCGAGGCCUUGGGAGCUUCUUAAAAUGCAUCAAUCUCCUCUUGAAGCUUGUCCUUGCCUUUUUUGCUUGUGGUCUUGUGGUGGAAGAUCAUCUUGAGCUUGUGUUCCUUGGAAAGAAGUAGGAUCAUACUUCUCUUGUUGAGGAACAAAUUUCGUCUUGGGGUAUCGAUCUUCUUCCCACUCAACUCCAUUCGUAUUGAACUUUCGUUCAAAACCAACACCUUGAUUCUUCCGGUGCCUUCCUUGCUUGCGUACAAUUUCCUCAAAUUGCUUACUUCCGACAAGGCUCUUGUAAACACCUUUCUCUAUAAUUCCCUUCAAUAAGCUAUUUUCUUGCUCAAGUGUAACUUGGCUAAGAGAAUCAUUAGUGGAAUCAAGAGAACUACUAGAAGCAACAAUAUUGGAUUUAGCAUGGUUAUUGUUACUACUAGUUGAAGAAUCUUUCUUACUCUUGUUGCUAGAUUUUACUUGUGGCAUGUAAGUAGACAAGAGUAAACGCUUGGCAAUGUAAGAAGAGCUUUUCUUGCGAAGAUCAUCAUUGAUUGCUUUUAAGAACUCAUGCUCUUGCUCAAGGUUGAGCUUUUGAAAGCGUAGCUUCUCAUGAGUCUUUAAAAGUUCUCGAUGAUCUUCCAAGGUAGUUUCAUGAGCUAACUUAAGAGUGUUUAGUUCUUUAGUUAGACGCUCAAUCUCCUUCUUACCGUCGUCAUUCGUUUUAUCUUGAUUAGCAUGAUUAAUAGCAGGUUCAUCAUAGUUUUCAUAACUAGAGUUGUCAACAAGUAAAUCAUCAUCUCCUAGCAAAUCAUCUUCAUCACUAUUGAAACCAACAUACUCGGGGUGUGUUACCUUUGGACCUUUAGCCAUGAAGCAUCUUCCAAUUCCUUCAUUUGGUGAGUCAAAUAUGUCGUAGGAGUUGGUUGACACAAGUGCUAGGCCACCAACACCUUCAUCUUGAGUGUAUUCAGAGUCGGAGUGAUAACUUCUUUCAGAGUGAUGGCCGGAGUCGGAGCCGGAUACCCAUUCACCAACAUGAGCUUGAUGUUUUCGUUUUGUGUAGCUCUUUGAUGAUUUGUCCUUCCUUUCCGAAUCCUUGCUUCUCCGAGAGGGUCUACAUUCAUAGCGAUCAUCUCUACUCCUUCUCUCUCUUGGUGGUGAUUCUUCUCUUCUAUUUCUUAUUUUGGGAGAAUCUUCUAUUCUUUUGUAGGGAGCCGUACACUCAUUGGAGUACUGUCCGGGUCUUCCAAAAUUGUAGCAAUUUCGUUCACGACUUGAAGAUGUUUUGUCAUUGUAGGACUUUGACCUGGAACUUCUCUCCUUGCUUCUACUCUUGUAGAACUUGUUGAAGUUCUUCACCAUUAGGCUCAAUUCUUCAUUGAAGGCUUGUUUCUCACUUGAUGAUGUGGGAGCAUCACAUGAGGCUUUGUAAGCACCACUUGACUUGUUCUGGAGCUCUUCCGUAUCCUUAAGUGACAUCUCAUGAGCAACAAUUCUUCCAAUGUCUUCCGUUAGCUUGAGAUAUUUGUAAUUGGGCAUCAUUUGGAUUAAUGUGCACACGGUAUCAUAUUUUCCGUCCAAGGCUCUUAGGAUCUUCUUGAUGAUGAAUCUAUCGGUCAUCUCUUCACUUCCUAAGCCGGCAAUCUCAUUUGUGAUGAGAGCAAGCCUAGAGUACGUUUCAGCGACACCUUCACCAUCCUUCAUUUUGAACUUGUCAAGUUGACUUUGAAGCACAUCCAAUUUGGAUUCCUUGACGGAGUCGGUACAUCGUGCAUAUCAAUCAAAGUAUCCCAAAUUCCCUUCGCAUUCUCAAGACGGCUGAUUUUGUUGAAUUCUUCGGGGCACAAUCCGUUGAAAAGAAUAUCACAAGCUUGAGCAUUGUAUUGCAGCAUCUUUAACUCUUCCGCGGUAGCUUCACGGUUCGUUUCUCUCCCAUCAAAGAAUUCACCUUGCAAUCCAAUACACACAAUAGCCCAAACGGCAGGGUUAUGUCCAAGAAUAUGCAUUUUCAUCUUAUGCUUCCAACUAGCAAAAUUAGUACCAUCAAAGUAAGGACCUCUACUGUGGUAAUUUCCCUCGCUAGACGCCAUACUCUCCUAGGUUGUGAAACCAAGGCUAUGAUCACCAAAAGCUAUGGAAAUCAAGGCAAAUGGAGACCAAAGCUCUGAUACCACUUGUAGGAUCGAAAGUAUGUCUAGAGGGGGGUGAUUAGACUACUUGACCAAAUAAAAAUCUUGCCUUUUCCCAAUUUUAAGUCUUGGCAGAUUUUAGCAACUUAGCACUAGUCAAGUAAACAACCUACACAUGCAAGUCUAAGAGUAUAGCAGAGGAAUGUAAAACAUUGCACAUGAAGGUAAAGGGAGGAGUUUGGAGGGAGCAAACGCAAUGUAGACAUGGAGAUUUUUGGCGUGGUUCCGAUAGGUGGUGCUAUCGUACAUCCACAUUGAUGGAGACUUCAACCCACGAAGGGUAACGGUUGCGCGAGUCCACAGAGGACUCCACCCACGAAGAAGCAACCUUGCCUAUCCCACCAUGGCCAUCGCCCACGAAGGACUUGCCUCACUAGGGUAGAUCUUCACGAAGUAGGCGAUCUCCUUGCCCGUACAAACUCCUUGGUUCAACUCCACAAUCUUGACGGAGGCUCCCAAGUGACACCUAACCAAUCUAGGAGACACCACUCUCCAAAAGGUAAUAGAUGGUGUGUUGAUGAUGAACUCCUUGCUCUUGUGCUUCAAAUGAUAGUCUCCCCAACACUCAACUCUCUCUCGCAUGUUUGGAUUUGGUGGAAAGAUGAUUUGAGUGGAAAGAAACUUGGAGAAGGCUAGAGAUCAAGAUUCAUAUGGUUGGAAUGGGAUAUCUUGACCUCAACACAUGAGUAGGUGGUUCUCUCUCAGAAAAUGUAUGUUUGGAAGUGUAGGCAUGUUCUGAUGGCUCUCUCCACGAAUGAAGAGUGGGUGGAGGGGUAUUUAUAGCCUCCACACAAAAUCUAACCGUUACACACAAAUCACCAAACUUAGUGGGACCAAAUAAUGAAACUCGGUCAGACCGAUUUAGUUCAAAAUGUGAACGUUAGGAUUUUCGGUGGGACCGACAUGUCAACUCGGUGAGACCGAUUUCAUUAGGGUUAGGGCAUAACGUAAUCUCGGUGGGACCAAUUACACAAACUCGGUGAGACCGACUUUGGUAAUAAGCUAACCAGAGCGUUGGUCAGGCAAACUCGGUGGGAGCGAUUCGCUCAUCUCGGUGAGAUCGAAACGUUACGAAGGGGAAACAGAGAGUUUGCAAUGCGAACUCGGUGGGACCGAUUGCUCAUUUCGGUUGGACCGAAAUGUUACGAAGGGAAACAGAGAGUUUGCAAUCCCAUCUCGGUGAGAUCGAGAUCCCUAUCGGUGAGACCGAAAUGACUAGGGUUUUGUGGCAGUGGCUAUGUCAACUGAACUCGGUGACGCCGGAUAGAAAGUUUCGGUGGGGCCGAUUUUGACUUUUGGUUUGGGACAAAUGUGGAUACGAGAAAGUGGUUGAGGGGUUUUGGAGCAUAUCACUGAGCAUUUUGAGCAAGUAACCCAUUAGGAAACACCUCAUCCCCUUUUAGUAGUAUUGGCUUUUCCUAUGGACUCAAUGUGAUCUUGGAUCACUAAAAGUAAAAUGUAGAGUCUUGAGCUUUAGAGCUUGAGCCAAUCUUUUGUCCUUAGCAUUUUGAGGAGUCCACAUUUCUAAUCCAUGCCAUGCCAAUCAUUGAGCUUUCCUGAAAUGUUUAUCUUGAAAUAGUAUUAGCUCAAUGAGCUAUAUGUUGUUAGGAAUUACCAAAACCACCCAGGGAUAGUUGCAUUUUCACUUCGCCUAAGCACUACGAAAAUAUGACCGAGGGAGUAAACAGUGGAGGGGGGCACCGCACACGGCUAAACAAUUGUCUGUCGUGUGCUAGGCACCCCCUCCUCAUAUAUAUAGGUGGGAGGGAGAGGGGAGAGGCAAAGGGGUGCCCCAAGUAGGACCGAAUCCUACUUGGGCUCCUGCCCUUGGCCGCGCCCCCCUGCCAUGUUUGUCGGAGGGGGAAGGAAAGAGGGGGGAGAGGGAAGGAAGUGGGAAUCCUAGUCCACACCUUCCUUUCCCUUCUCCUCUUUCCUUAUCAUCCUUAGGACGGCCCAUAUGGGGGGCGCACCAGCCCCUUGUGGCUGGUGCGUUUCCCCUCUUGGCCCAUAAGGCCCAUAUCUUUUGCCAGGGGUGCCCGGAACCCCUUCCUGUGACAUAUCUCCGGUCAAUAACCAAUAGCGGAACCUGGAUGCUCAUAUUGGCUCCUACAUAUUCUACGAAGAUCUUUAUCGGUCGAAACGUUAUGACAACAUACAUAAUUCCCUUUGUCCAUCGGUAUGUUACUUGCCCGAGAUUCGAUCGUCGGUAUCUUCAUACCUAGUUCAAUCUCGUUACCGGCAAGUCUCUUUACUCGUUCCGUAAUACAUCUCCUCAUGGCCAACUCCUUAGUUGUUUGCUUGCAAGCUUAUGAUGUGUAUUACCGACAGGGCCCAGAGAUACCUCUCCGAUACUCGGAGUGACAAAUCCUAACACUAAAAAAUCACACAUCCGUGACAUUUUGGGCCGAUCGAAUUUUUUCUGUCACGCUUAUGACACUUCUAUGACGAUAAUUGUGACAAAACCCGGUAUCAUCAUAGAUGUGGUGGGCUCCUACUUCUAUGACAAAGAAUCAUGACAGAAAAUGGGCUUUUCGUCCUGGGCGGGCCGGAGACGCACCUGCAUGAAAUUCUUUGCGCCGUCGAUGAUGAAAAAAUUAUGGUAGAAGCGAGGGCGAGGAAAAUAUCAGGGAGUUCCCGGUUACGGUGGGUGGUCGGGGCCGAGCGAUGCACGGAGGGAUUGCGUGUUUCUCUCGUACAUGUACGCGCGUGGGUGCGAGGCGUUGGGCUGUAACUGAACCCGAGCGAGGCGUUCGCCUACUGAACCUGAGCGAUUGCACUGCAGACUACGCGUUACUGAACCCGACCGAUCGUUCAAUCUGGCUGUUAACUAAACCCGAUCGAGCGAUUCCUUCUCUACUGCUGCUAACUGAAGCCGAUCGAACCUGCUGUCUCUUGAUGAAUAGUGAGCUUGUUGGGGGUUGAAUGAACAAUUACUGGUGGGGGUUAGAUGAACAAGACCCCGUGGUAGUAGAGGUCGUUGCCGCUGGAUGAAUAGGACCUCGAUCGAGCCAGUUGGGGGUGGAUGAACAGGACCCCAUGGAGGGCUGGAUGAACAAAAGUCGGUGGAGGGCUGGUUGAACAGUAGCCGGUGGAGGGCUUGUUGAGUAGUAGCCCGUGGAGGGGUGGUUGAACAGGACCCCAUGGAGAGGGCUGGUUGAACAGUAGCCGGUGUAGGCUGGAUGAACAGGACCCUGUGGUGAAUAGUAGCUGGUGGAGGCUGGAGGAAGUCGACGGGGGAUGAACAGUAGUAGGUGGAGGAAGUCGAUGGUGGAUGAACAGUAGCCCGUGAAGGCUAGAGCGAGGCAGUAGACGCUGGAUGAACAGUAGCCAGUGGAGUCCCGUUUUGCGGUAUGCCACACCCCUCUCGAUGAACAGGACCCCCGUUUCGACCGUAGGCGCUCCAACACAAGUCCGUUUCCUCCGUUUUGCGGUACACCACACCCUCCCAAUUAACAGCACCCCGUUUCGACCGUAGGAGCUCGAACACAAGUCUGUUUCCUCUGUUUUAUGGUAUGCCAGACCCUUCUCGAUGAACAUGACCCUGUUUCGACCGUACGCGGUCGAACACAAGGCCGUUUUCCUCCGUUUUGCGGUACACCAGACCCCGUUUCGGCUGUUCCGUCCAAGCCAGUAGGCUCCCAUUGAACACAACCCAUUCCGACCCACUCUGCUGCCUCCCGAUGAACAGGACGCGUUUCGACCCAGUCACUUGGCUCCCGGUGAACACAACGCUGUUUCCUCCGUUCCGACCCAGCCAGUUAGCUGAAGAUGAACAGGACAACGUCGCUGUCGUCCGUUGCCUCUCCAUGUACAUGAGCCCUGGCCGUCCGUAUGCAGGAGUACGCGUUUCGAGACCCCGCUCGUAUGUAUGUACGUGGCCAUGAUUUUUUGGUGUGUGGCUUUAUGUACGUGUACACGGUUUAGACGGGACAACCUGAACUGCUACGUGGGGGGUUCUACUAUGACAUGUGCCGCUACUUACUCGGCCAUGGUUCAUCGUUGCAGAGCGACCGAUCGACCAGUAUGUAUGUACACGUUUGCGACAAGACAGACAAUGCUACGUACACUUCGACCGGGUGGGUCCCAGCUGUCAGGGAUGAUAAGGACGCACUUCCUUGCGUGCGAAGAUAUAGCUGCUGGGUCGACCCAGCUGUCAGGGGGGAAUCGUUUUUUUGCCAAUAAUAAGGAUGCACUUUCUUGCGUGGGAAGAUGUAGCUGGUGGGUCCCAGCUGUUAGGGGGAGAAAACAUUAUUUUUCAGGGUAAAAAGGAUGCGGUUGCAUGCAGGCGUCCAUGGGCGUGGUGUGUCCCCAAUGUCAGCCUCUCACGUACAGUCAUCUUCCGAUGACUCCCAUUUGUUGACCACACCGUGCAGAGCGCACCAAGCCGGUGGACAACGGUGAGGCCCCAGACUGGAAUGCCCCGGAGAUGGCGAAGACGCGGCAGUGGAGUCGUAGACGGAGAGGAGCGAGAAACUUGACUGGUUCGGGUGCGGGGUGAGCCUACACUCGACAGAGAAUAACAGGAGGUGCAGAGGAGUGGACGGAUGGCCUGGGCGUUGGUGGGGUAGCGUUUCACAGCGAGGCGCGCAAAACAGCGCAGCUUGACACCGGAGGCUGGAGCAGGCAGUCCCGGCAGCGAUGGGGAAGAAGACAAGAGAUUGAAGAAGAAUGCCCGCCGUUUGAUGUAAAUCCAAUGCCUUGCUUAGGCUUCGACCUUUGUAUUUUUACUUUUUGUGAAAGUGCUUAGGCUUCGACCUACUGGCCCACAUGUUAGCCAGUCCAUUUGUUUUUUAGUCCAUUUGGUGGGCUGGUUGAAACAAUGAUGUAGCGCCUAUGCAACCCGUUUAUAUAUUAUGGUAGAAUUUAAAGCCCAUUUGCAUUGUUCUAGAAAUCCAGGGACUUGAUGGGCUGGGUGAAAUAUCAUGUUGGGAUGGACGGAGAAAUGUUAUAAAAACAUAAACACAUGAUUGCAUGUCUAUUACUGCAUUGAUCAGUAAAAUCUUUGCAAGCUUAUGUACACAAUCAGUAGGAGUUAACUUGCCAAGUUAUAUAUAAACAAUUAUUAUUAUUAUUUUGUAAGAACUUUCAAUUUAUGAAAUAAAAUAUCAUUUUAAUUUGAUGAGUUAAUAGGGUGUGGGGUAUUAUUAUAUUUUAGGCUAGAAAUGGGACAAUUUAGUUGGUUCUAGGGAAAACUACUAGGAGAAACUCAGAUUACAUCGAAAAAGAAAGUGGGAGAAAAUUUAGAUAUAGGAUUAAUGAAAAUGAAAAAUAAAGGAAGUGGGAAGGUCUAUAAAAUGGUUGGACGAACGACAGGUUUAAUGGAACCUUAUGUUGUUUCUAUUAUAUAUAUGUAAUAAAAUAAAAAAAGAUAUGAAUAUAAAUAUAUAUACUAUUAUAGAAGGGAAAGCAUAGGUUCAGUUUUGCAUUCUUAUAGAAAAAUAGAACUGAGCUGUGCAUCGUCUUGAAAAAACAAACAUUACUUGGGCUGCUGAUGUUAUAGACAAGCUAGACUAGGAGGCCCAGAGGCCGCUGACGGUGUCCUGGACUAGGGGGUACUCACCACGUCGUCUCCCGAUCAGUUAGAUUGGGCCGAGGACCCCCAUGGCCGUAUACUCUUGGGCCAGUUCGGACAGCCGAUGACAUGCAUGAGGAAGAUUCCACAAGACUUGGUGAUCAAGACAAGGACUCCUCCCCACCAACUUAUUCAACUAGGACUCUUGUUAUCCUAGGCCUCUGGUGCAUUAUAUAAACCGAGGCUAGGCUAGUUGAUAGAGAUAGGCUAGAUCAUUAUGACAUUACUCAUCAUACCUCUAGGGUUUAGACCACAACAUAUGAUCUCGAGGUAGAUCAACUCUUGUAACCCUAUAUUCAUCAAGAUCAAUCAAGCAGGAAGUAGGGUAUUACCUCGAUAGAGAGGGCCCGAACCUGGGUAAAACAUCGUGUCCCCUGUCUCCUGUUACCCAUCGAUCCAUGACGCGCAGCUUGGGACCCCCUACCUGAGAUCUACCAGUUUUGACACCGACAAUGGUGCUUUCAUUGAGAGUUCCGCUGUGUGAUCGGCAAAGGAUCAAUGGCUUGUCGGCAGAUUAACUGCGACGUUGGCAUCUUCGUCACCGGCUCAGCUGGUCACCUUGGUUCGACCGAGGACUGCACUCCGCGUCAGAUCAUCAUGUUCGGACUAUGACCUUCAUCAACAUCAACUCUGAUCUCUCUCAAGAUCAUGGAGGAAUCAUCCAUGGAGCCCGGGGGCUCAACGUCAACAUUGCCCUCGUGUGACCGUGAUGUUUUUCUGGACAACAAACUUGCAUCCACUGCCACCACCUCCCCGAGCAUCGCUAUGACGAUUCUUUCGGUGGAAUUAUGCAGAAUUAAGUCUACAACAACCAUGCGAAAUUUCGUCGAGUUCCAAUGGAGGAAUCUCCGGCAAUCUACGAUAUACCGGAGCCCUGUCAAAUCUGGACGGGAAUCUGGACGAGUUUAGGGCGUGGUCUCCAGCACCUAGCUCGGACGUCCUUUGGGAGAUCCAACCGUUGAUCUGCUGCGAAAUUCCUAUAUCUACAACCCCUCAAAAUUUCAGCUUGAUCUGACAGUCCAAACUCCGGGAACCUUCCGAUUAGUGCAUUACUUUUCGGAUCUGUUUUCUAUGCGAAUACGGAUCCGACCAGAAUUCAUGUUUCUUUAUGAACGUGAUAUUGAAGAAUCUUUUUAAAAGGAAUCUUAUUCUAGGGUAUUGUGCGUUGUUCUUAACACGUGCCCAUAAAAUUUUAAGCCUUCUCUGAGGCACUCUUCACCAUCGCGCUGGUGUCAAACCAGUCUGGUAACAUUGGUCCACGUCUGCUGACCUGCGCUAGACACGUCGUUGCUUUGUUGAGCCGAGCUCGACUUCUUUGGAUCAUCAUCUCGGAAAGCCGAAUAAGGGUUCGGCAUCGCGAAGGAUAAAUCAUCACCAACCUCGCCGCCCAACGGAUUACACGGAGCGGGCACAUCGGCAUCACCGCAUGGUCACUUCAUCAAGCCGGCAUUGACCACGUCAUGAGUUAUGACCUGCAUCGGCAUGGCCGCACCAUUGCUUCUUCGAGGCGAUGUCCAUCAUGCCGAACUACUUCAACACCUCGGCUGACAUGGCAGCUACAACAUCUCCGUACCGACCCGCUCCGUCACCUCGGCUAGACCGGGGGCUUCACCAUCUCUUCAUCAAUCUACUCAGGAGACUUCGGCGUCACCCGCCGACCAACUUCGUCACAUUAGCUGGACCGGGGGCUUUGCCUUGGCGAGCCAACCUUUACCAGCAUCGCCAUGUCGUUGCUUCACCGUCCAUCAGGCAAUGGGUGUGCGGAUCGAUUCCCAAUUUUGGGAGUCACUUUUCUUCGGACUGCUACAACAGAUAAACUAGGUGCUAUUAAUCCUAGUAAUUUUUUCUUGCUUGGGUUUAUUUUUCCCAAAGAAUUAUUACUCUGGUUUGUUUCAUCAUCUGUGCACAGGUCUAUCAAAUGGUGGCCGCAUUAACGACGGUCGCGUGGUGGUUCGGUCAGUUUCCGUAUACAGUUCGGCGAAUAUCGCAUCCGAAACUCGGACCGGCCUAUGAAUUCAGCCUUUGCCACGCCUUCACCGCAUCACGCCGACGCCCUGCAUCGACAUUGACUUCGGCGCCAGGCCACAUAUCUUUAAAUAAAUUAUUUUUGUGAAAAGCAAUUAUCCUUUUUGGACCACACUAUUUUACAUGUGUAGGUAAUCGACUUCAACUGUGUCACGCGGUCACUUCAGCAAGCCGACGCCGUCGUCCCAAUCGGCGUAAAUCGGCUUGCGUGAUCACCUUGUUGGUCGAGUUGCCAUACCGACGUGUUCGGUUGCCUCGGGGACUUCGGCAUCGCCGAGAGAGCUCUACCUCAUCGAGUGUUCGGCACACAGGCCAUAUUUCUUUUAUUACUCACUUUGCAUAAAUUGUUUAUUAUGCAACAAUUUUUUUUAAAAUUUAUUAUUAUUACCAUUGUCUCCGGUUCGCACUAUUUUCUGUGCACAGGUAAAUGAUCCGGGUUGGGCAGCGCUGUCACCUCGGCGUACCGACAUACCACGUCACCUUGGCUAGACCGGGGGCUUCGUCAUCACUUCAUUAACCCACGCUGGGGAUUUCGGCGUCACUCUACCGGCCUGCAUUGGCCGUGCUAUGUCACCACUUCGGAGUGUCGAGCUCUUCGCUUCGCCACCUCGGGACCGGCUUGGGGCAUGGAAUCUUGUCCCGCAUCAAGCUCGGACCGCGUCAUCAAGGCCGAACACAUUAACCAGCUAAGUCGCUUUCAUGCUAAAAAACAUUCAGUUUUAAAUUUUGUUCGGUUCGAACAAGCAUUAUAUUUUUUGGCAAAAAGUUGUAUGUGAACUUCCUUGUCAAAACUUUGUUUGUGACACACAAAUUCAAAUACCCCGUUUACUUGGGGGCUUCCUUUAUGAAGCCUUUCCUCUUGCAUAUGAUUAUACUUGUAUGGCUUCGUUCCUUGCUCGUGUAUUACGCCACAAUAUGCACCAUGAUGACUUAAGUGUUCCGCAAGCUGGGUUGCCUUGCUCCUGUGUUUACCCCUACGUUCCCGAUUGUUCGGCUAGGGAGUAAAGGGAGCACCUCUGCGAUUGUCAUGAUCGGGUCAUCCGAGCUCGGACCUCAGACUGGGUGAGGCCAAAAGCUAGCGCUCUUAUUGUUUUCAAUCAUGGUCGGCACACAACGGAACUCAUGAAUACAAAAAAUCUAUUGCACAAGUCUCAUAGUAACAAUGAGCAACCGAAGAAAGGUAUCAGUGGAGGUACUAUUUUCUUCGAAGAUGCUUCUUACACUUCGUCAGUAAUAUAGCAUAAGUUCCCUAAGCGCGCUUUGUCUGUUACAACCUUAUGGCCUGAUUGCCUGGUUAUCGGAAACACCAUCGAUAUUCUUGACAGGUGGAGUAGAUAACACUUUUCGACCCUUGACCGAAGAGGGAGAAGCCGACGGUCGGUUAAGACGCGUUUAAAGUUCGGGUGAAUACAGAUAUGAUAUAAGUACUUUGGUACAUACAAUCGUUAUACAUAAAAUUCUUUUACCCAAGUCACUCGGGGGCUCUUAAAUUAGUAUGAGCCAUUUUAUAGUAAAUGUGUUUUCUUCUUGAUCGUUGCAAAGUCUUUUUCUACCGCUCCUUUUUCGACUGGAGUGUAUGGUCAAUAGCCGGAUAGCCUGUCUUCUCUCUUAAAGCCGCUCGAGUUUAGUUCGGUAAACUGGCCUCGGAGAAGUACUCCUCCUUCGGGAUAAGGAGCUUGAAGCCUUAGGUUGACCCGCUUGAAAGUCUUGAGAUUGGAUGUGUCAUGUUAAACCACGACAGAAGCACAAUCUUUUUUCUCCAAUUUUCGGAUUGGCACCGAACACUUGAUUAGUUUGGGCGUAAAGUUUUUAUGAAGUUUUUUUUGGUUUCCCAAACCUAUGGCACUUUUAACCUAUCUGUGUGUUUCCAGCAUAAGUCUCGCAGUGCAACGCCGGACCCUUUAGAGAUUCGGCAAAAACAUUCUCGGAUAUUGCUAUGUAUGCAUCGGUUUUGAAUUGUGUCUUUGGUCAAUAGUUGGGUUGCCCGGCUCCUGUGCUUGCCUCCUACGUUCCGCUUUGUUCGGCUAGGUGCGCAAAGGGAGAACCACUGUGAUUGUGCUUCCAGCUCAAAUGGUUAAGCACCUCAGUGGAGAAAGCCGAAUACUGAUUGUCACAAUAAGUGCAAACUUGUCAGCAAUCCGAUGACUGUGUUAAACUAUAAGAUCGAUAGAGGUCACCCCGUGUUAAAUGAUGGGCCAUUCAUAACAUUGGACGAAGUGUUUACGGCAUGACCUCGACUGUCGCCGAACACUAACCGGGGCUAGUAACAUGCCUCCCAGCUUUAAACUCCUAUGACUAAGUGAAAGUUAUAAAGCCCGCAUAUCUGAUUGCCUUGUUUCCGCUAACACAACCGCCUUCGGGCACUGAGACAUCAGCUAAUGGUUAUUUUGUUAUUCCGAAAACACCCUGCGUAGCAUCUACAAGGGGGUGGAAGCUGACGAUGGGCCACUUUCAAAUGAUAAACGGUCGCAACGGAGUCAAAAUAAACAUAUCAUCGGCGUUUGUAUUUAAUAUACAAGGGCCUCCUUCCACAAUCAUCGUUAUCAAGCCAUAAAUAUGCAUCAAUUUGACUUAAGAUUCUUGCCAAUCUGGGUUGCCUGGCUCCUGUGCUUACCCCUACGUUCCCAAUUGUUCGGCUAGGUGGUAAAGGGAGCACCUCUGUGAUUGUUACUACCGGGUCAUCCGAGUAAGUACCUCAGACUAGGUGAAGCCGAAAGCUAGCAAUCUUAAAGGAUCACAUUGGUCGACAACGACGGAAGUGAAAAUUUUGGUUCAUUAAUACCAUAGAGUUCGGGAACUUUCCCCGAACUAAAUCCUCAGUAUUUUCCUCCCACAUUGAUUGGAGGUGAGGUUUCAUGAUCAUGAUAAGCAUGACGACCCAAAGAAAGGAACCGAUAGCGGGACUAUUUUCUUUGGAAGAUGUUUCUUAUGAUAAAACGUAAUAUAACAUAUCUCUCCAUGUAUAUUUGUUUAUAAAACCGUAUGGCCGGAUUGCCUUGUUUGUCGUGAAUCUUUGCUCUCAUAAAGGCUUUAUAAAGUGGGACAAACACUCCCUAGCUACUGGCCGAGGAGGUUGAAGCCGAUGCUCGGUCAAUAAAGUUUUGUACAAUGCUGAUCCGACCACUAAUGAUGUAAAGUACUUGGUACAUAGAAUCAUUACACAUAAAUUGUGAGCAAAAAUCAAUUUUUCCGCAGCCAAUCUUUUAAAGAGUCAAUGGCACAAUCUCUUUGAGACAACCAAGCAGCUGACAUAAUGCUCUCAUAGUUCCUUAUUGGGAUUAAUUUCCUAUCUAUUAAGCUCCUUGAGGCCGACCUUGGUGAGCUCAGCUUUCGUUAGCUCUAGCUCCUUUAUGAUAUCUUUAUUCUCUUUCCGAGAAGUUUGUGUUAAACACAACAAAAUUUUCUGUCAAACGGAUAUCGAUCCUUAAUUCGGCCACCUGUGCCCACAUUAAGGCUCGGGGGCUACUGGGCUUCGCGCUUAUCAUUUACUACUAAUAAAGGAGCACAUGGAUCUCCUGAUCUGGUGUUGCCACCCGACCAGUGUCUUGGGGGCUACUGCAUUGCCUAUUCAAUGCAUAGAAGUUUAAGUGCAAUGCAGUUUCCGAGGAGAUUAUGAUCCUCAGGUUGGUCGGCCGCACCCAACCUGAGUCUUGAGGACUGAGCACGCCGCUUUUUGUGUCCCGAAGUAUCCUGCCGAGCUAGGACUUGAUCCUCAGGCCGAUUUUGCGAAUCAACCUAAGUCUCAGGGGCUACUGGGAUCAGCAGUCUUAUGUCAUCCUUCAGGUGCAUCUCGGGUUUUAGACCAACACACACCUUGAGGGCUACUGGAUAUAUAUCUCGGCAGAGAAUAAAUUGCACCAAUAAAAAAUAUUCACAAAAAAUCAGCCCGUAGUCGGGGUGGUGCACCACCUCGGAAGCAGUCCGGCAUAAAGCUCGGGCGCCAGUGGCUGGCUCCAUAGAGGGCAUUUCCGGCAUUAAGCUCGGCUAAACUCCUUCAACUUUUUUGCACCAAGGUGAUCCAUGACACCUCGGAUAUAGUCCAGCAUUGGAGCUCGGAUACAGUCCGGCGUUGGAGCUCGGAUACAUUCCAGCGUUGGAGCUCGGAAGCGGUCCGACGUUGGUGCUCGGCUGCAAAAGAUACCUCAAAUGCGGUCUGGCGUUGGAGCUUGGACGCAAGAGGACACUGCCGCCCAGGGAACAACUUCAAACCCGAGAUGUGGCAUAAAAAUAACCAGGCAUUGAUAAAGGCCGAUAACUUAAAGGGGCUCCUCGGAUACCCGACGUGUAAACUCUCCGGAUUCACUUCGGCGAUUCUCAAGAUCGAAGAUGAGAUGAUUUGUUGAACCAGUUUUCAAGACCGACGACCGAAGAUGAAGAAUAGUUCAAAAGAAUCGAGGAGCGUUCCCAACUUGAAGACCGGUUCAGGGGGCUACUGAUGGUGUCCUGGGCUAGGGGGUACUCACCACGUCAUCUCCCGAUCAGUUAGAUUGGGCCGAGGACCCCCAUGGUUGUAUACUCAUGGGCCAGUUCGGACAGCCGAUGACAUGCAUGAGGAAGAUUCCACAAGACUUGGUGAUCAAGACAAGGACUCCUCCCCACCGACGUAUUCGACUAGGACUCUUGUUAUCCUAGGCCUCUGGUGCAUUAUAUAAACCGAGGCUAGGCUAGUUGAUAGAGAUAGGCUAGAUCAUUAUGACAUUACUCAUCAUACCUCUAGGAUUUAGACCACAACAUAUGAUCUCGAGGUAGAUCAACUCUUGUAACCCUAUAUUCAUCAAGAUCAAUCAAGCAGGAAGUAGGGUAUUACCUCGAUAGAGAGGGCCCGAACCUGGGUAAAACAUCGUGUCCCCUGUCUCCUGUUACCCAUCAAUCGAUGACGCACAGCUUGGGACCCCCUACCCGAGAUCUGCCGGUUUUGACACCGACAACCGCUUGGUACCUGCUGGAUCCAAAAAAAGUUGAAACAUGUCAUGGGCUGCGCAUGUUAAACAACAAAACGUAGGCCAUGGACCUGGUGGGCCCGGGACUAUCAGCCUCUCGACGAAUAGUUGUCUCCCGAUUCCUCUUGUUUUGCUGACCAUGUUGGGAACGACAGGCGGCGGCGCCGCGGCGAGAGCACCAAGGCGGAUGAUGACGUCGAUACCUCAGACCGAACGAACCGGAGCGGGGGAAGACGCAGGCGGAGGGCAGUACGAGGGUUGACUUGUUCGGGUGCAGGGUGGGCCGGUGGAGCUGCCACCGCCGGACAAUGUAUGGGAGUAGAGGGAUGGCCUGGCCAACAUCAUAGGCUAUGAUGGGUCGCCGAGGCGUGCGCGGCAGCGCCGCCAGCCACUGUAUAGGAAGAGGACAAAAGAUUGAACAAAAUAAAGAAAUACAAAUGGAUAGAUGGUUGGUCCCAAAUGUCGUACGAGACUUGCUGGGUCCACCUGAGAAGGGGAAUAUGAGGAAGGAUAUUCAAAGCAUGGCAGCCCAGUGAACUAGUUACAUACAUAAACAAAUAGCCACUAAAAAAGCAAACAGGUUAACGGGUUCUUAGACGAAAUAUUUAGGACAAAACAGAUAAUUACUGUUGGGGAAUGUUCAAAAAAAUUCCUACGAUCACUCAAGAUCUAUCUAGGAGAAGCAUAGCAACGAGACGGGAGAGUGUGUCCAUAUACCUCGUAGACCGAAAGCGGAAGCGUUUAGUAAAGCGGUUGAUGUAGUUGAACGUCUUCACGAUCCAACCGAUCCAAGUAACGAAUGUAAGGCACCUCCGUGUUCAGCACACGUUCAGCACAAUGACGUCCCUCGAGCUCUUGAUCCAGUAGAGGGUCAAGGGAGAGUUCCAUCAGCACGGCGGCAUGGCGACGGUGUUGGUGAUGUGAUCCGCGCAGGGAUUCGCCUAAGCACUACGACAAUAUGACCGAGGUGGUAAACUAUGGAGGGGGGCACCACACACGGCUAAGAAACAACUAUUGUGUCUUUGGGGUGCCCCCUGGCCACGUAUAUAAAGGAGGGAGGGAGGAGGAGGCCGGCCCAAGGGGGGCGCACCAAGGGGGGGAGUCCUACUAGGACACCGUUCCUAGUAUGAUUCGGCCCCCAUUUUCCUUCCAACAGAGAGGGGGAAAGGGGAAGGGGGAGAGAGGGAGAAGGAAAGAGGGGGGCUGCGCCCCCUCCCCUUGUCCAUUUUGGAUUGGGGCAAGGGGGCGCGCGCCUCCUCCCAUGGUCUGCCUCCUCUCCUCCACUAAAGCCCAAUAGGCCCAUUAACUUUCCCGGGGGGUUCUAAUAGCCUCCCGGUACUCCGAAAAUCCCCGAUCUUUUUCGAAACCAUUCCGUUGUCCGUAUAUAACCUUCCAAUAUAUCAAUAUUUACCUCUCGACCAUUUCGAGACUCCUUGUCAUGUCCGUGAUCUCAUCCGGGACUUCAAAAAAACUUCGGUCACCAAAACACAUAACUCAUAAUACAAAUUGUCAUCGAACGUUAAGCGUGCGGACCCUACGGGUUCGAGAACUUUGUAGACAUGACCGAGACAUAUCUCCGGUCAAUAACCAAUAGCGGAACCUGGAUGCUCAUAUUGGCUCCUACAUAUUCUACGAAGAUCUUUAUCGGUCAAACUUCAUAACAACAUACGUUAUUCCCUUUGUCAUCGGUAUGUUACUUGCCCGAGAUUUGAUCGUCGGUAUCCUCAUACCUAGUUCAAUCUCAUUACCGGCAAGUCUCUUUACUCGUUCCGUAAUACGUCAUCCCGCAACUAACUCAUUAGUCACAUUGCUUGCAAGGCUUAUAGUGAUGUGCAUUACCGAGAGGGCCCAGAGAUACCUCUCCGAUACACGGAGUGACAAAUCCUAAUCUUGAUCUAUGCCAACUCAACAAACACCUUUGGUGACACCUGUAGAGCAUCUUUACAAUCACCCAGUUAAGUUGUGAUGUUUGAUAGCACACAAAGUGUUCCUCCGGUAUUCGGGAGUUGCAUAAUCUCAUAGUCAGAGGAAUAUGUAUAAGUCAUGAAGAAAGCAAUAGCAAUAAAACUAAACGAUCAUUAUGCUAAGCUAACGGAUUGGUCUUGUCCAUCACAUCAUUCUCUAACGUUGUGAUCUCGUUCAUCAAAUGACAACACAUGUCUAUGGUUAGGAAACUUAACCAUCUUUGAUUAACGAGCUAGUCAAGUAGAGGGAUACUAGGGAAACUCUGUUUGUCUAUGUAUUCACACAUGUACUAAGUUUUUGGUUAAUAUAAUUCUAGCAUAAAUAAUAAACAUUUAUCAUGAUAUAAGGAAAUAUAAAUAACAACUUUAUUAUUGCCUCUAGGGCAUAUUUCCUUCAGUCUCCCACUUGCACUAGAGUCAAUAAUCUAGAUUACAUAGUAAUGAUUCUAACACCCAUGGAGUCUUGGUGCUGAUCAUGUUUUGCUCGUGGAAGAGUCAACGGGUCUGCAACAUUCGGAUCCGUAUGUAUUUUGCAAAUCUCUAUGUCUCCCUCCUUGACUUGAUCGCGGAUGGAAUUGAAGCGUAUCUUGAUGUGUUUGGUUCUCUUGUGAAAUCUGAAUUCCUUCGCCAAGGCUAUUGCUCCAGUAUUGUCACAAAAGAUUUUCAUUGGACCCGAUGCACUAGGUAUUACACCUAGAUCGGAUAUGAACUCCUUCAUCCAGACUCCUUCAUUUGCUGCUUCCGAAGCAGCUAUGUACUCCGCUUUAUAUACACCAAACUAUAGUGUUUUUCUUUCAAGUUUGUGAACAUGUAUUAUUCUAUUUUGGAUCCGUUGCAACGCACGGGCACAUUGCUAGUUAGAUCAAUAUAGUCGGGAUUCACCAAGGAGCAAAACCAAGUUGUAGGCUGCUCCUGUCGUGUUGGCGUAGCAACUCAGGGCUCAUUCGGUUUGGAGGAAAUCAUGACGUAGGAAUUAGGAGUAGUAUAGGAAUUUGAUAGGAUGGCACUUGCCAUCGUAAGGAAUUGACUUGCCUCGUUCCUACGCUCAAAAUGAGCUUUAAGUGUAUGUGUAGUUUCCUCCAAAAACACAGGAGAUGAGUAGUAUUCCUACGAAAUUCCUAUACGCAUUUCCUAUAAACCGAAUGCAUAUAUAGGAAAUUUUCCUCCGGAAUCCUUGUUACUAUGUUAUUCCUACGAAAAUCCUCCAAACCGAAUGAGGACUCAAGUAGGGUCAGUCCGCACACAAAAUGGUGACACACUUAACAGGACCCCUUUGGCCGACAUGUGGCUCAUCCACCAUCUUAUUCCACGUGUGAUGCACCAAAUUACAGUUCAGAGCAGCGGUUGGACUUGGAGGCACCCGGUCGUAGCGCCGAAGUAGUAGUAAAUGAGCGAUGAGGGGUCAAAUCACAAAGCCCCACCUUUCCCGCAUUAAGCUGGACGGACGAAGCAACCAUCAUUUCACUCUAGGGCGCAAGAGCAUAAAGAAAAGAGCAAACCAAUGAUGCGUGCAGCAGCUACCUAGGGCACCCUAGGGUAGGGGCCUCCACUACAAUUCCAAUUUUUUUUAAAGUGCCUCCACUACAAAUCCGCUUCUCCCUCAUUCUCUUGAAGAAAACUGAUGAUGCGUGCGGCGGUAGGGUUUGUAGGAGUACUAUGGCGUGCGGGGCCAUGUCGUAGUAAAAGGGAGAGGGAUUGAGUUCGAGUCGAUGCCUUAAUAUGUGUGGGCCGCUUGGUUUUACGGGAACGAGGCAGCAUUUUUGGUUUGGGGACCAGUGGAGAUAUAUGUACAAAAAAUUGUGGACGUAGGUUCAACCGAAAGGCAAUGAUGCAUGGGCCCUGCAUUUUGAUAUACCCGCGGCCGCGUGAAAUUUGCUACUCUACCUAAAACUAGUAAGGUACACAUGCAUUGAACGCAUGAGAUUUGGAAACCAAAUUAUGAAUAAAUACACACUAUAGCAUGUAAAUCUUUGAGUCAUAUAUGCAUGAUGUAGAUGUUCGUUUAGUUCUUAUAGUUAAUCUCAUUCAAAAUCAAUUAGUUUUUUAAAAAGUUUUAGAUUCAUGGGAUUGUGCACUGUAAAGCAUAAAGUCAAAAACAAAUAAUGGCAAUUCAUUUAGAAAAAAAGUUUGGGCAAUUAUGAUACGGAAGAUUCUAGAACAAAGGAGAAGUGCUUGUGUUUUGGGAAAGCAUGCACGGCCCACAUCUCUUAUUGGUUGAUAUGUCACAAAACAAGAAACGAGGAGGGAGCUAAUGUAUCGUGCCAAAGCGUUUUGGGAUUAUUUGGUUUUCGGAAGAUGACUUACACACCUAGAAGGAGGGAGUACAAAGAGAAAAAAUGAAUUGCAGUUAAAAGAAUGACAUUUCUAACAAAAAUGUGAAUGUGAACUACAUAUGUGUGCACGUGACCAGCACAUACAUUGUCAAUGCAAAAUUUAAUGCAAGAAAUAACUUAUGAGUAACAUGCACAAAUUGAUGAUGUGGUGCUUGCAUGCAUAGAGUAGAAAAAACAAUGUGAUUUAUGACUUGCAUGCAUGACGUGUUCUUGUGCCAUAGUUGCAUGUCUAGGAAAAAAGCUACUAGUGGGUUGUCCUAGCUAUUUAGGAAUAGAAGAUGUAUACAUGGAAGUUGUAGGGAAAGAGAUGACAUGUAUCUCAAUUCCCAUGAGUAGGGAUUGGAAAAGAUAUGUCAUUUGGUUCACAUCAUAGGAACUUCUAUUGAAUCUAGAGAUGACAUGUAUCUCAAUUCCUAUGAGGGGGGAUUAGAAAAGAGAUGUCAUUUGGUUCACAUCAUAGGAACUUUUCUAUUGAAUAUACGCUAAUGUUUAUUUUCCUUUGAAAUUAUGGGAGUAUAGGAAUCCAUUCAUAUGAACCAAGUGGCUCUAAAGCUAUAAAAAUGAUAUCAUGUUUAUUUCCUUUGAAAUGUGGAGUAUAUGAAUCUAUUCCUAUGAACCAAUUGGCUCUAAAGGAAAAAAAUCCUAUAAAAAUCAUAUCAUAUAGAGUUCCUAUGAUAUUCCUCCACACCAAAGGAUGGUUGAAAUUGCUGCACGUGAUACAACAGUCUUUCUUUGUAGACUCCUCCCACAUCUUUAUAGUUACCUCACGAAGAUGAAUGAAAUGAUAUAUACUGGGUAUUCUAUAUGUGCAUUUUGGUACACGAAAACUCGGUAAAAGUUUGCGAUGUUCGAAUUUUCAAUAAAGCUAUAUGCACUACAUUUUGGAAUGGGGGGAGGAGCAUACGGCAGUUGCUAACACUCACGUGGAAGAUUUGUGUGUAGGAGGAGUGGCUGCUCUGUUAAAUGACAUGGCAAAACUGACACUGUCGGAUGCCGAUCUAACGGUUCUUACGGCAUUCGUCAGGAAACGGCUUGUGGGCGAACGUUUGUUGGAUAAUGAUUUAUGGACACAUGCAUUACAUUGGUACGUGGCCCCUCUCUCUCACGCACAAACGCACCCUCACGAGUCACGACUCUCCUGGGUCCUCUCGCACCCACCGUCUAUCUGCAGGUAGACGUCACACACAUAUGUGCUCUUCACACCCAACCCUCAAAACUUCUAAAAAACAAAAGAUGUCAUGCACCUUUUAUUUUAGCUCACACGUCACACACUUAUACUAUUACUCUUGUGGCAAACGUUCUUUGGGCAUAGUAUAUUGUACUCUCACGAAAAGAAGCGGUGCACGCACGCGCUAGUUCUCUCACACCCACUCACGGGUACACGUAGGAGCGCAUUUUUUGAAGCUGGUACAACAAAAUCACUCCACUAUAUAUAUAAGCAGGAGCCUUAGCGCUUGCUUUACUAGGGUUCCUCUCUUUCACUCUUUCAUGCUCUCCAGAUCUAAGCAAGACAUAGGUGGCCACACUCUCUCUUUGCUCAUGGUUGGUCACAAAUCCGGCCGGACCACCUCGACCGGGGCAGGGGUGUAGGUGCAUCGUUCACGCUGUCGUCGGCGGCGAGGGAGGAGACCAACGGUUGCCCGCGCGUCCCGAUCGGCAGCCGUGUCGUUCUCUCCAAGAGGGCGCCGGCUCGGGAGGGCCUCCGACCCCUUCUUCCUCCCUACGGUAUUGUGGCCAAGAUGCGGCCUCCCGACACCGUCUUUGCCACAUGCCGACGAUCCUCAGGUAUAUAUUCUUUCGAAACAUGCCUUGCUCUACUUCCCCAGCUCCCCACGUGGCUGCGUGUGGAUCUUUUUCUACUUCCGUCGGCUGUUCCAAAGCCACCUAGACUUUUACUAUUAUUAGAGGUAAAGGUAGUUCAUACAGUCAAAUCUAAGAGUUGGUUCAAAAAGGGAAGAAAGUGGGAAAGCUGUAACAUGAAUCUAGGACUUGGUUUUAAGAGGAAACAGGGGAAAGUAGUAGAUACUGGCUACCCAACCGGUCUAUUGGUUGAAAAGGCAAAGAAAGCAUGGUGGAUGGCGAAGGGUGGGGGAGUGGACCUGUCUCUUGAUUGAAAAAGGAAAUAAAGUGAGGGGUGUUGGGGGACAACGCAAAUGAGAAUGAGCAGGUCUAGAUUUCCUGUGCUCACAUAGGAAAAUGUCACCGAGGAGAUAAAAAAUGGGACAAAUGCAGACAUGCUGCCUGAGUGUUUGCCGCUCUCGGCAACCACAUCUGCCUCACCACUUUAUGCCCCUGUUGUCCCUACGCCCAUAUCACUACCAUUAAUGUAAAAUCACAUGAAGCAUUAAGCAAUGCCACUUAAUGUCACUAUAAGUAAUGGUCUAGUGCCGUCGAUAAAUUGAAGCAAUGCCACCACCAGUUUAUGAAGUGCUUCUGUCUUGCUUUAUUUCCCAUGAAUUGUGUUGUUGCAGUUACACUUAAAUCUCACACCGCUAACAUUGCUUCAUCCCAGUGGAACUGCACAAAUUUGAUUGCACAUUUACUGAGCAUGUGCUACUCUCAUGAUAGUAAUACUAAUGCCAUUGUUCUGCAUGUUAAUUUAGUGGCAAUGUUGAUGUGAUGUGAUGCUACUUACUUAAGGGCACUUUCAUACUAUCAGUCUAGUGCCAAUUAUGACACAAUAGGUGCUGCUGUUAAUACGCCACUACAAAUAUCUGUCACUUUUUAAAUAACCUUAUUUCAUAUUUGCGCAAACAGGGAUGUUUGUCUCCAUAUCGUUUCUAUCUGCGCAAUCAAAAGUUCACACCUCAGUUUUAGUACAACUGCACAAAAUGAGAUGGCUAUUCCUAGCUGUUGUCCUCUAACCACCAGUGUUCCAGGUAUUCCUACAUUGGUUCUAACUAGGUAGAAUGACCAACACAAUCUAAAAGAAGGUGAUUCGUACGUUUUACUUCCUGAUUGCAGUGCAGGGACGAGCGAAAACAACUACAUCCUAGUCCGGAAUGCACUUUCUUCCAGUUCAUCCAUGGACCGAGGACUAGCUGGCACAGCUGCACGGAGGUUUUUGGUACAGGUGCACGGACAAGAGGCAUUGUGGUCUACUUAUUUCUGCAAAUAGCGGUGCUUAAAUUUAGUGGAAUGCACAAGAAUUUCAGCUGGUCAGUACACUACAUGGUUCAGUUCAGCAUUCCAGAGUGAACUCCAGGAAAAACCAGGGUGAACUCCAGGAAAUUUAAGCCUACCUAGGGAGGCCCUUUGCUCAGAGAAGCCUUGCUUGAUUUAUCCUGAUUUGUAAACCUUCUCACAACUUUGUCUUUUGAUGUGAACUAGUUAUAUGUUUGUUAUGUUCUAUGAAUCGUUGAGAUGUAUAAAAUUGCUUAACUUAUGCUUUUCAGGUUUUUUAUGAAGCCGAGUUUAAUGUGAGUGUUCCACAUGAACGCUGGACUAGCGUGUGAACGUUUGGAAUUUACAUUGUGGCCUCAGUUAACUGCAUGAACCACUGUAACAAGAUACGUAGUUGCUUAUAUGUCAGACAGCAGAUUAUUGAUUGUUAGCUGGUUGAUAGCCUAGUGUUGAAGCGAGAUGAGCCAAUGUGCCGUGUUUUGCACAACUGCUUACAAGUGGGGUAGCACCAACAGUGUUUACAAGUACUUAUGUAUACGUCAGCGCACAUUUCUCGAACGAGUACUCUAUUUCAUCAAACACACACUGCUCGUAUGAUAAACUGUGACAACUUACAUCUUACCAUGCCAUAUUCAUGAAAAAACUAGUGAGGACGCAUCUGUUUCGGCAACAAUUAUGAUGGUUCUCACAUGAUUCACGGGCACACAAAAGUAGCAACAGUUCCCAUAGACGGAUUCAAACAGAGUACUAGCCCAGAGGGCUCGAUAAUAGGCAAGGUUCUGAUAAGUAGACACAAUCCAAACUAGUAUUAAACACUAGCUGGGGCAACUAUUUCAUGCCUCGAUCUAAUUUGGGCUGGACACAAGACAGACCUUGCCAUGAACAUCAUCAAGGACGUCCGGCAGCAGCUCAAUCCUGUGAACCUUCAUGAAGAUAACCUUGUGGCCUUGCCACUCAUAAACUUGUUUGUGGAGGCAUGCCACGUCAUCUUCCUGCGUAAGCUUGACAAGAACAGCAUGCCUCACAAAUGAAGGAGUAGCUUUGAACUUCUUGUGCUUCAGUACACACUGGACAACACGCCUGACAACAGAGAGGCUGGAAUACAACUCGACAUCAGUAUAAGCGCAAAUGGCUUCCAGGAUCCAACAGCCUAAGAACUAUGUUUUCCCAGUGCGUAUAUUCAGGUCAUCCGCCUCAUAGCGAGUGACAUGUACAACCACACAAUCCUUGUCUGCAUCAGGGCUCUAAUUGAAACAGAAACAAAUUCUGAAUUACUUUCCAGUAUAAGAAACACAAGUUAUUUAAACCACUAUGUAUAACAUGGCAUCGAAGCUAAUAAAAUUUUGCAUUAUUCAUCACCACAUACUUAGAUGAAAAACCACAAUCGAGAUCGGCAAAGAAGAAAAUCACCUUGGGCAGCUCAGCAGGGGGGACACAUCCUCGAAGGGGGAAAACUGCUCCUGCAGUGCCACGGGGACUGUAACCUCAAACGGGGCGUUGACCAUCUCAGUAGUGGCCGUGAGCGUAUCUGAGGUCGGCUCGGUGGCUGCCUCCAUCUUCUUGGAGCUCCCUGUCUCGUGGGGAUCAGCCUCCCGCGUCUGCUCCAAUAUCGGCAGAUCUUUGCCUGGUUCUCCUUGGUCCAUCAUGAAACUGACGAAUACUAGGAGACCACUGAAAGGAAAACACAAUCGCAAUGACAAUGAAGCAAAAAAGAGAGUGAGGAUCGGUUACUGAUUUGCAAAAGUUCCUUUUUUCUCUGAAUGAAAAUAUACCAAUAUCACGGAUCCGCUUACCUUCCCUUCGUUUGAGAAGAACAGUGGCAGAUGCGAGUGUUGGCUUUCUUAAAGACAGUGAGGGAGAAGGGGAUUCAGUGAAGAGUGAAAUGAUGGUUGCUUCAUCCGCCAAACUUAGACUGCGGGGAGGUGGGGUUUUGUGAUACGACGGCUCGUUACUGCCGCGCUACGACCGUGGUGACUCUCUGCCUGCAUACUGCCUUCUAAUUUGGUGGAUGGCAUUUGGGCCCGCGCGCGGCAUGGCCCACAUGUCAGUGAACAAAAGUAAAAUGGCAUUCAGUAGAGGGAGAUGUUUCGAUGACCUAAGAGGAGCCAGAAGCGGUAGUGUAUCCACUGUACUAGUAGUAAUUGUUUUUCUGGUAGUUGUAGAGUGUCUCCACUGUACUAGUAGUAAUUGUUUCUCUGGGCCCAAGACAAAACAGCCCAUCCACCCUAGUAAAUAAUAAAAUUAAUUCAAAAGCCCAUAUAUUUACUUAAUGAGAGGUGAUACGUCUCCAACAUAUCUAUAAUUUUUUAUUGUUCCAUGCUAUAUUAUAUUAUAUUUUGGAUGUUUAAUGGGCUUUAUUAUACACUUCUAUAUUAUUUUUGGGACUAACCUAUUAACCGGAGGCCCAGCCCAGAUUGUUGUUUUUUUGCCUAUUUCAGUGUUUCAAAGGAAAAGGAUAUCAAACGUAGUCCAAACGGAAUGAAACCUUCGGGAACGUGAUUUUCGAAACAACCGUGAUCCAGAGGAUUUGGAGUCUACGCAAAGCAAUCAACGAGGAGAGCACGAGGCAGGGGGCGCNNNNNNNNNNNNNNNNNNNNNNNNNNNNNNNNNNNNNNNNNNNNNNNNNNNNNNNNNNNNNNNNNNNNNNNNNNNNNNNNNNNNNNNNNNNNNNNNNNNNNNNNNNNNNNNNNNNNNNNNNNNNNNNNNNNNNNNNNNNNNNNNNNNNNNNNNNNNNNNNNNNNNNNNNNNNNNNNNNNNNNNNNNNNNNNNNNNNNNNNNNCCACGUUGCUCCACCGACAUACUUCUUCCUCCUAUAUAUACCUAUGUACCCCCAAACCAUCAGACACAGAGCCAAAACCCUAUUUCCACCGUCGCAACCUUCUGUACCCGUGAGAUCCCAUCUUGGGGCCUUUUCCGGCGCUCCGCCAGAGGGGGCAUUUAUCACGGAGGGCUUCUACAUCAACACCAUAGCCUCUCCGGUGAUGUGUGAGUAGUUUACCUCAGACCUUCGGGUCCAUAGUUAUUAGCUAGAUGACUUUUUCUCUCUCUUUGGAUCUCAAUACAAAGUUCUCCUCGAUCUUCUUGGAGAUCUAUUCGAUGUAAUCUUCUUUUGCGGUGUGUUUGUCGAGAUCUGAUGAAUUGUGGGUUUAUGAUCAAGUUUAUCUAUGAACAAUAUUUGAUUCUCCUCUGAAUUCUCUUAUGUAUGAUGGGUUAUCUUUGCAAGUCUCUUCGAAUUAUCAGUUUGGUUUGGCCUACUAGAUUGAUCUUUCUUGCAAUGGGAGAAGUGCUUAGCUUUGGGUUCAAUCUUGCAGUGCUCGAUCCCAGUGACAGUUGGGGAAACGAUACGUAUUGUAUUGUUGCCAUCAAGGAUAAAAAGAUGGGGUUUAUAUCAUAUUGCAUGAGUUUAUCCCUCUACAUCAUGUCAUCUUACUUAAAGCAUUACUCUAUUCUUAUGAACUUAAUACUCUACAUGCAUGCUGGAUAGCGGUCGAUGUGUGGAGUAAUAAUAGUAGAUGCAGAAUCAUUUCGGUCUACUUGUCGCGGACGUGAUGCCUAUAUACAUGAUCAUACCUAGAUAUUCUCAUAACUAUGCUCAAUUCUAUCAAUUGUUCGAUAGUAAUUCGUUUACCCACCGUAAUACUUAUGCUCUUGAGAGAAGCCACUAGGGAAACCUAUGGCCCCCGGUCUAUUUUCCAUCAUAUUAAUCUCCCGUCAACAAGCUAUUUCUAUUGCCAUUUAUUUUACUUUGCAUCUUUAUUUCUCUUUAUCAUAAAAAUACCAAAAUAUUAUCUUAUCAUAUCUAUCAGAUCUCACUCUCGUAAGUGACCGUGAAGGGAUUGACAACCCCUUUAUCGCGUUGGUUGCGAGGUUCUUAUUUGUUUGUGUAGGUGCGUGGGACUCGAGCGUGGUCUCCUACUGGAUUGAUACCUUGGUUCUCAAAAACUGAGGGAAAUACUUACGCUACUUUACUGCAUCACCCUUUCCUCUUCAAGGGAAAACCAACGCAGUGCUCAAUAGGUAGCAAGAAGGAUUUCUGGCGCCGUUGCCGGGGAGAUUUGCGCCAAGUCAAGUCAAGAUUUGACUCCCGACAACCAGCCAUUCCUGGCGCUGUUGCCGGGGAGUCUACGCACAAUUCAAGACAUACCAAGUACCCAUCACAAACUCUUAUCCCUCGCAUUACAUUAUUUGCCAUUUGCCUCUCAUUUUCCUCUCCCCCACUUCACCCCUGCCGUUUUAUUCGCCCUCUCUUUUCCGUUCGUCGCCUUCUUGCUUACCUUGUUGUUAUGGCUAGUCCCUUAUCUACUCCGUUGUCUCCCGAGUUUGAAGUUCUUCACUUCAAACAAAGGCAAGGAGAAAACUUGAAAGAUGCUUGGUUUAGAAUGAUGGAAUCUUAUCAUAAUUGUACCCUAGAGGUGAAUUUUAGAAUUUUGCUUCGCAAUUUUUAUGUUGGAUUGAAUAUGUCUCAUAGACAACUCUUGGAUUGCGUUGCCAAAUGCAAUUUUAUUGAAAUUGAUCCCAGUAUUGCGCGCGAAAUUAUAGAAGGUAUAGUGGGAACAUUACCUCAACAAAAGGGGCCUCAUCAUACCCAGGAAGAAACGCAAGUUUUUGAGAAAAUUUGCAAAGUAACAAAAAAAUUACAAAAAUCUCUUGAACCUCUUAAGAGUGUUAGUGGAAAUCUUCACCGCAUGAAUAUGUUGAUUACUCUUUGCAAUAAGCGGUUGGAUUCUUUAGAUCUGAAAAUCUCGGAAUAUGAAGGGAAGCGUAAAGAACCUCCCGGAUUUGAGCAUAACUCCACUAAAAAAUUAAAGACCCAAGAUGAUAAUACCUAGAUCUAUCCUUGCUUUUAUGCCUAGCUAAGGGCGUUAAAAGAUAGCGCUAGUUGGGAGGCAACCCAAUUUUAUUUUAGUUUUUUUUUGCUUUUUGCUUCUGUUUAGGAAUAAAUAUUUGAUCUAGCCUCUGGUUAGAUUUGUUUUUAUGUUUUAAUUAGUGUUUGUGCCAAGUGAAACCUAUAGGAUCUUCUUGAAUGAUAGUUAUUUGAUCUUGCUGAAAAUUCCAGAAACUUUCUGUUCACGAAAAUAAUUGUUAAAAAUCACCAGAACGUGAUAAAAUACCGAUUCCAAUUGCAGUAGAUCAAUAAAAAAAUUGUACAGGUCGUCCUAUUUUGGUAGAUUUUUCUGAGUUCCAGAAGUUUGCGUUAGUUACAGAUGAGACUGUUCUGUGUUUGACAGAUUCUGUUUUUCGUGUGUUGUUUCCUUAUUUUGAUGAUUCUAUGGCUAGUAAAAUAGUUUAUAAACCAUAGAAAAGUUGGAAUACAGUAGGUUUAACACCAAUAUAAAUAAAGAAUGAGUUCAAUACAGUACCUUGAAGUGGUGUUUUGUUUUCUUUCGCUAACGGAGCUCAUGAGAUUUUCUGUUAAGUUUUGAGUUGUGAAGUUUUCAAGUUUUGGGUAAAGAUUUGAUGGAUUAUGGAACAAGGAGUGGCAAGAGCCUAAUCUUGGGGAUGCCCAUGGCACCCCAAGAUAAUCUAAGGACACCAAAAAGCCAAAGCUUGAGGAUGCCCCGGAAGGCAUCCCCUCUUUCGUCUUCGUCCAUCGGUAACUUUACUUGGAGCUAUAUUUUUAUUCACCACAUGAUAUGUGUUUUGCUUGGAGCGUCUUGUAUGAUUUGAGUCUUUGCUUUUAGUUUACCACAAUCAUCCUCGCUGAAUACACUUUUGAGAGAGACACACAUGAUUCAGAAUUUAUUAGAAUACUCUAUGUGCUUCACUUAUAUCUUUUGAGCUAUAUAGUUUUUGCUCUAGUGCUUCACUUACAUCUUUUAGAGCACGGCGGUGGCUUUGUUUUAUAGAAAUUAUUGUUCUCUCAUGCUUCACUUAUAUUAUUUUGAGAGUCCUACAAAACAGCAUGGUAAUGUGUUUUAAUUGUGAAAUUAGUCCUAAUAUGCUAGGUAUUCAAGAUUAGUAAAAACUUUCUUAUGAGUGUGUUGAAUACUAAGAGAAGUUUGAUGCUUGAUAAUUGUUUUGAGAUAUGGAGGUAGUGAUAUUAAAGUUGUGCUAGUUGAGUAGUUGUGAAUUUGAGAAAUACUUGUGUUGAAGUUUGCAAAUC
rnacentral:lncRNA from 1 species